rnacentral:lncRNA from 1 species
GGAGAUUGAGGUAUAUGUUGAUGAUAUGAUUGCUAAGUCAACAACGGAAGUGGAACAUGUAGAGCACUUGUUGAAGCUUUUUCAACGUUUGAGGAAGUACAAGCUUCGUCUGAAUCCCAACAAGUGUACAUUUGGAGUCCGUUCUGGCAAGUUAUUGGGCUUUAUUGUCAGCGAAAGAGGUAUUGAGGUUGAUCCUGCACAAUACAAGAGAUGCCUGCGCCCAAAACUGAGAAGCAAGUCCGAGGUUUUCUUGGCCGCUUGAAUUAUAUUUCCAGAUUCAUAUCCCACAUGACUGCCACAUGUGCGCCGAUAUUCAAGCUCCUUCGAAAAGAUCAUUCCCAUGAUUGGACCGAGGAUUUCCAGAAAGCUUUCGAUAGUAUCAAAGAGUAUCUGUCUGAACCUCCAAUCCUGUCUCCGCCUGUAGAAGGAAGACCAUUGAUCAUGUAUUUGACUGUCCUUGAAGAUUCAAUGGGUUGUGUCCUUGGUCAGCAAGAAUAAUCAGGGAAGAAAGAGUAUGAUAUUUACUACCUAAGUAAGAAGUUCACUGAUUGUGAGUCUCGAUACUCAAUGCUUGAGAAGACAUGCUGUGUUUUGGCUUGGGCCGCUAAGCGUCUACGCCGGUAUAUGAUAAAUCAUGCAACUUGGUUUAUAUCCAGAAUGGAUCCAAUCAAGUACAUAUUUGAGAAGCUUGCUUUAACCGGGAGGAUUGCCCGUUGGCAGAUGUUGUUGUCUGAGUAUGAUAUUGAGUAUCGAGCUCAGAAGGCUAUUAAAGGUAGUAUCUUGGCUGACCACUUGGCACAUCAGCCGAUUGAGGAUUAUCAGUCAGUUCAGUAUGACUUCCCAGAUGAGGAGAUUCUAUAUUUGAAAAUGAAAGAUUGUGAUGAGCCUACACUCAAUGAAGGGCCAGAGCCUGGUUCCAGAUGGGGUAUGGUAUUUGAUGGCACUGUAAAUCAGUAUGGAAAUGGUAUUGGGGCAGUAAUCAUUAAUCCUCAGGGCAUACACAUUCCCUUUACAGCAAGGCUAACUUUCAAAUGCACGAAUAAUAUGGCUGAGUACGAGGCCUGUAUUAUGGGAUUGGAAGAAUGCAUUGAUCUAAGGAUCAAGCAUCUUGAUGUUUAUGGUGAUUCGGUCCUCGUUGUCAAUCAGAUCAAGGGUGAAUGGGAGACGAAUCAGCCUGGUCUUAUUCCAUAUAGGGAUUACGCGAGGAGGACUUCAACGUUCUUUACUGAGGUUGACUUCCAUCAUAUUCCUCGAGAUGAGAAUCGGAUGGCAGACGCUCUUGCUACGCUUGCUUCGAUGAUUGUGGUUAAACUGUGGAAUGAAGUUCCCAAUAUCACCGUGAUGCGCUUGGAUAGACCAACUCAUGUAUUUGCAGUUGAAUAAGUGAAGGAUGAUAAACCAUGGUAUUAUGACAUCAAGUGCUUCCUCCAGAACCAGGUUUAUCCGCCCGGGGCAUCUGUGAAAGAUAGGAAGACUUUGAGAAGAUUGUCAGGCAGUUUCUACCUCAAUGGAGAAGUGCUUUAUAAGAGAAAUUUUGAUAUGGUUCUACUCAGAUGCGUGGAUAGACACGAAGCAGACCUGUUGAUGACUGAAGUCCAUGAGGGUUCAUUUGGUACUCAUUCCAAUGGACAUGCCAUGGCUAGAAAGAUGUUGAGGGCAGGCUACUAUUGGCUGACAAUGGAGUCUGACUGCUGCAAAUAUGUGAAGAAAUGCCACAAGUGUCAGAUUUAUGCGGAUAAGAUUCAUAUUCCUCCGACACUUCUGAAUGUGAUUUCAUCACCAUGGCCUUUCUCUAUGUGGGGAAUUGACAUGAUCGGCAUGAUUGAGCCGAAAGCGUCCAAUGGACACAGGUUUAUUCUCGUAGCAAUUGAUUACUUCACUAAGUGGGUUGAAGCGGCGUCAUAUGCAAAUGUGACCAGGCAGGUGGUCGUGAAGUUUAUCAAGAAUCAACGCAUAUUCCGUUAUGGUGUGCCAGAUAAGAUCAUUACUGAUAAUGGAUCUAACUUAAAUAACAAGAUGAUGAAAGAGUUGUGUAGUGAGUUCAAGAUUGCACACCAUAGUUCUUCUCCUUAUAGACCCAAGAUGAAUGGGGUUGUUGAAGCUGCUAACAAGAAUAUCAAGAAAAUUAUCCAAAAGAUGGUUGUUACGUACAAAGAUUGGCAUGAGAUGCUGCCAUUUGCUUUGCAUGGAUAUCGUACAUCUGUCCGCACUUCAACAGGGGCAACCCAUUUCUCUCUUGUUUAUGGCAUGGAGGCUGUACUCCCAGUAGAGGUGGAGAUCCCAUCAAUAAGAGUCUUGAUGGAAGCCAAGUUGACUGAUGCUGAAUGGGUUCAGAGUCGCUAUGACCAGCUGAAUUUGAUUGAAGAGAAGAGAUUGACUGCCAUGUGCCAUGGUCAUUUAUAUCAUCAGAGAAUGAAGAAAGCUUUUGAUAAGAAGGUCAAGCCUCGUGUGUUCCGAGAAGGUGACCUCGUGCUCAAGAAGGUCUUGUCUUUCGCGCCCGAUUCCAGGGGAAAAUGGACUCUAAACUAUGAAGGUCCAUAUGUUGUUAAGAGAGCCUUUUCAGGCGGUGCUUUGAUGCUUACAACUAUGGAUGGGGAGGAUUUCACUCGUCCUGUGAAUUCAGAUGCAGUCAAUAAAUACUUCGCCUAAAAAUAAAAACAGAAUAACUCGCUAAGUUGAAAACCCGAAAGGGCGGCUUAGGAAAAAAUGAGCGUCUCGGUGGAUUGAAAACCCGAAAGGGCGAUCUAGGCAAAAGUUAGAGACAUAAAAAAUGAAUAUAUGCAUCCCGCUAGAUUGAGUACCUCAUCCUAGGGCAAUCUAGGAAAAAAUUAGGGAUUUGGCAAGUAACUGCAUCCUGACAAGACUGUGUUCUACAACUGUCAUCCAUCAGAGAUUCUUGUUCAUUCGUCGUCAACCAAAGCUUCGAAUACAUCGAAUUCAGAAUUGAUGGAGAAAUGGUCAUUAUGUUCAAUGUAGCCCUUUUCCAAUAUAUAUCACCAAUUUCAAACUUGUAAAAAAUCUUUGGGGUCUUGCCAUUUGCAGGCUACCAUUCCAUCAAAUAAAUUCGAGCCUUUAUCCAAUUAUUUGCACUCCUAUUUGUUUCUAUUUCAACAAAUGUUUUGCAUUUUUUUAAUUGAGAAAAUAUCAUUGUUUUAAAUAAAUGAGUUUUCCAUAACUUGUUUUUUAAACAAAGUGAACAUUCACAAUGACAAAAGGAUACUUAGGAGAUCCUCAGUGCUCUCCCAAGGGUGGUAUGAUCCCCAACAGGGUAAGACAUUUGUUCAUAUCCCUGGCAUGACUGUAUCUUCUUCCUCCGGAGCCCCUUUUAUGGUUCAUCCCCGAGUGGUAUGCUUGUUGAGAUGUUCACCACUCUCCCCUUCAGCGGAAGAGCGAUCUUUUCUCCUCAGCAGGUGUGAUCUCCUUGGUGAGUUUGGUACUUGGUGUCGGAUCACCAGAUUCCUCUUAUAUCCCUCAGAUGGAUUCCCCAGUAGAGUUGCUUUUGUGGCAGUUUCUGCCUGUGCAAUGAACUUUUUUCCCCAGCCGGAUUGACUGAUGAUUCAUCCCCCAGAGAUUUUGUGAUUUCCUGGUAUCUCUGAUUCCCCGGCAGAUUGGAUACUCUCCAUUGGAAUUUUGGGCUUCCUCCCUUGAGAUGUAGUACCGGACGGCUGUGUGCCUUUUCCUUUGGAGUUGUUUGUGUUAGAAUGUCUGUUUGUCAGCAUUCAUCAUACAUAAAUCACGCAUAUGUGCAUAUAUCCUUCAUAACAUUUAGAUAUUCAUAUUGCAUUUUUUGCCAUAUAUCUAUUGUUUGUUAUCCUCUGCUAGUUGGUAAUACAUUUCCCAAGCAGAUGUCGGUGUCUGAUCCCUCAAUAUAGAGUCAGCCCCUUUAAGCAGAAAGUGUUUAUCUUUCCUACCAUAUUCCCCACUGAGUUAUAUCCUCGUGGACGACGGUUGUUUCUGCUUCCUCCCAACACAUAUAUCGGGAUGGGUUCCCCUAUUGAGUUAUAUCCUCAUUAGGAUGAGUCUCGAUUCAGUUUGCCUUUUUGGUUUGAUCCUAAAUUGGCCUCUUGUGACUGUCUUUGGUGUUUCCCUGUGGUAAAUGAAUAAUAUCGAUUCAGUUUGCCUUUUUGGUUUGAUCCUAAAUUGGCCUCUUGUGACUGUCUUUGGUGUUUCCCUGUGGUAAAUGAAUAAUUGCUCAGUAAUCAGUAAUUAUUCACCUUAUCCUCAGCGGAGUUUGUGGUUUUCUACCCUUAUACCGGUAGAUAUAAACCCUAUUUUUCCCCCUUUGCAGAGUUAACCAUUGUUGUUCAUCCUAGUUGAUGACGGUUACUCUUCCGUGGUUUUCUACCUAGUAUCCGGUAGAUGUAAUCCCCUCUUUGACGGUUAACAUUAUCCAACAUUCGGUAUUGAUAUUCCCUCAUUCUUUUGGAUAAUUGCUCUGAUUAAGCAAUUUUAUCCCCAGCGGGUCCUCUUUCAUUUACCGUUUACCGGUGAUGUUUGUUGCUCCCCUUGUUUGGUCAUCAUUAUAUAACUAGUUUUGGUAUCCCGAUGCCUUUCUCUGUCGGUCGAUUUAUCCUUUAUUAACCCAGUAACCGGUUGUGGAUAAUCUUCCAUGCGAGUAUUUUAUCUACGUUCCGACGGUAAUAGAUAAUAUAUCUCAUGCACUCUUUGGUCGAAGCCUUUUGUUCUUCCCCAAUCGAGUAAGAUUCGUAUUCUUGUUUUAGAAUCAAAUGUCCAUCCCAUAAUCGAGUUUGCAUUCUGUCCUCUUUUUGGAUGAUGAGUGUUUUGGGAAUAUUCCCCAAUUCAUGCUUUGUUUGGUCAUCAUUAUAUACCUAGUUUUGGUAUCCCGAUGCCUUUCUCCGUCGGUCGAUUUAUCCUUUAUUAACCCAGUAAUCGGUUGUGGAUAAUCUUCCAUGCGAGUAUAUUAUCUAUGUUCCGACGGUAAUAGAUAAUAUAUCUCAUGCACUCUUUGGUCGAAGCCUUUUGUUCUUCCCUAGUCGAGUAAGAUUCGUAUUCUUGUUUUAGAAUCAAACGUCCAUCCCAUAAUCGAAUUUGCGUUCUGCCCUCUUUUUGGAUGAUGAGUGUUUUGGGAAUAUUCCCCAAUUCAUGCUUUGUUUGGUCAUCAUUAUAUACCUAGUUUUGGUAUCUCGAUGCCUUUCUCUGCCGGUCGAUUUAUCCUUUAUUAACCCAGUAACCGGUUGUAGAUAAUCUUCCAUGCGAGUAUAUUAUCUACGUUCCGACGGUAAUAGAUAAUAUAUCUCAUGCACUCUUUGGUCGAAGCCUUUUGUUCUUCCCCAGUCGAGUAAGAUUUGUAUUCUUGUUUUAGAAUCGAAUGUCCAUCCCAUAAUCGAGUUUGCGUUCUGCCCUCUUUUUGGAUGAUGAGUGUUUUGGGAAUAUUCCCCAAUUCAUGCUUUGUUUGGUCAUCAUUAUAUACCUAGUUUUGGUAUCCCGAUGCCUUUCUCUGUCGGUCGAUUUAUCCUUUAUUAACCCAGUAACCGGUUGUGGAUAAUCUUCCAUGCGAGUAUAUUAUCUAUGUUCCGACGGUAAUAGAUAAUAUAUCUCAUGCACUCUUUGGUCGAAGCCUUUUGUUCUUCCCCAGUCGAGUAAGAUUCGUAUCCCUGUUUUGGAAUCGAAUGUCCAUCCCAUAAUCGAGUUUGCUUUCUGCCCUCUUUUUGGAUGAUGAGUGUUUUGGGAAUAUUCCCCAAUUCACGCUUUGGUUGGUCACCUAUUAUAUGCCCAGUAACCGGUAUCCCUGGUGUUCCUUCCUUCUGCUCCCUAUUAUGACUUUUUUCCCCUGUGGAGUCAGAUUUUCCUGAGUUGAGAUAUACCUUUUAGGUCUUCCUCAGAUGAUUUGGUUGAUUGAUAUCUCUCACCCUUAUACCGGUCUUAGAUAUUCAUUCUUCCCGAGCUUGUUGUUCUCUCACCCUUAUACCGGUGAUCAGAUCACAUGUCUCAUUGAGCUUGUUACCCAGUAACCGGUAACACCUCAUCCCGCUGCUUCCCCAGGAGAGUCUUUUUAGACAUCCCCAGCGAGGUAUCUGUUGUGGAUCGCUUUUUGCUGUGUUGGCAUAUUCCCAAAUACAUGCAUCUUUGAGUCAGCUCGAGUCUUUCCAACGGAUUUAUUCCCUUUGGAGGCCCUUUUCCCCAGCUUUGAGUCGUGACCUGCUCACGCGGUUUCAGUCCUUUACUCCCCCGUAGAGUCCCUUCCCCAUGGAGUGGAUAACUCAUAGGGAUUAUCAAAUUUCUUCGGAUGUCUUUUCUUCUUUGUGGACACAUAUCCCCACAGAGUUUUGUUUGUUUUGCAUACAUACAUUGGCAUUAUGAAGUCUCUUAGGGACCAAAAUUUGUCUCUUUGUUAUUAUUUAAGCCCAUUCUACUUCGUCGAGACGAAGAUUUUAACCUUCACUUCUCCGGCUAGAAUGACCUUAAAUAGGGGCAUCUGUAAGACCCCAAUUUUGUCCCUAAGAUCCCUCAUGGCAUCAUAACAUUGCAUUGCAUAGUCUCAAGGAUCAUUGAGCAUCUUGGCUCCCUUUCCCUUUGGGUAGGGAUCUCUUGUGAGUGGUUUGAGAUCACCAAGCAUGCUUGAAUUGUAUAUCAUUGCUUUUCUCAUUUUGUUUACUAACCAAAAGCACAAAAAUAUGUCACUAACAUCUUUUGUUUGUAGCUUAAGCAAUCACCAGGUCAAGAGUUUCAAGAAGAUCCUUUGUGCAAGAGAUGAGGUAUUUCCUUGGGAUGAGGAUCACAUGAUUAAUAUAAGGAGCUUAUAUGAGCUAGGGUUUCAUUUUGAAGCAAUUUCACCAAGUGGUAGAGGCACAAGUUAAUCAAGACAUUUCAAGGUCAUCUGAGGACCAAAAGUCAACUGUGCAGUCAACUGAGGGCUAGGAGGUGGGGAAAAGAGUUGAGACACCUCAAUCAUGUUCAAAUGGGGUCUAUUCAUCAUUCUAAACAUCCAUCUUGAAUAUUCAAAGGUCAUGGCAAAAGUUACUAAAAAUGGAAAAUGACCUAUAAUUCGAAGUUUCCAAAUUUGGCAAGUUUUUGGUCCACCUUCAACUUGACUUGUCAAUAUCAAAGAUGUUUCAAAUGUAUUUUUGGUGAACAUGAAAUUUGUAGAUCUUUGUCUCCCCUUUCCAAAAAGUCCUAAUUCAUGUCCAUAUGAUGAAUGGUUGAAAAGUUAUGGUCAUUUGAUCACAAAGUGUGCAUGGAAAUUCAAAAUGGCAUAACUUUUGAUGUAAUGCUUCAAAUUGGUUCAUUCUUUUGGCAAAAUGCUUCUCAUGUUCAAGACAUCUCAAAAUGAGAUUUUCCAUGCAUGGGAAAAGUGUGCAUGCUCAUUAUUUCAUACAUGUGCAAAUUGAAGAAAAUAUUCACCAUUCAUUUUUGGCUUAAGAUGCAAGCUAACAAAUACUCAAAGCAUGACCAUUGGAUGUUCUUAAGUGGAUUUAAGCCUUAACAUGGAGCUGAUCACAUGUAUUAUGGGCAUGUGAGCUCAUUUUACAUUUUUGUAAAUUGCUUCAUAACUCCUUAAUCAUGAUUAACCAAUGGAAAAUAUGAUUAACAUUGUCAUUAGCAUGGGAUAUAAAUACUGAAACCCUAAUCAUAACUGCAAAGAACCACCAUUUUCAGAUCUGAAAUUCAAGAACUCUCCAAAAUUCUCUCUCUUUGAAUUUGAUUUUUCUUCACACAAUUCUCAAAGAUCAUUGCAUAUUUUUGUUCCUGGUGCUUCACUGAGCAAGAUUCAUCCACUAUUUGGUGCGAUUCAUCAAGGAAUCGAGCAAUACAAGAGCAUGAACAUGGCAAUCGGAUUUGGAAAUUGAAGUAGAUUCAAGAGGAUUCAACCGUUCAUUUUUGCUUAAAGUUUCAUAGGAAGAUCAUAGGAGAAGAUCUGGAGCUGUAGAGCUUGAGAGAACACAUUUUCAAAAAGCUUCAUUUCCAGGUGAUGCAAUUUUCGAUCUCUCCUUUUGCUGUUUUUUGAACAUAGAACUGUAGAUCUUGUUGAGUAGAGCACAAGUAUGUGUUUAGAUUUGGAAUUGAGUGAGAAUUGAGAAUGUUAGGUUGAUUGGAAGUUUGGAUCUAGAAAAUAUUUCUCUUCGAUCUGUAGAAUCUAUGAGGAAUUAGGGAAAUCUAAGGUCAUAUUUGGAACCUACGUUGGGAGACGAGUCAAACGGUAUAGGACUCGUGAGAUUCUGGAAAAUUUUGGGUGGCGCCACCGUGAGGCUUGCCGGAGAAGACGACCGGAGCUGUAGCUCCGGCGUCUGUAUCAUUUUAGGGUUUGAUGAUGUGUACUACCAUGUGUUCCAUUGCGUGGACAAGCGAUUGGAUGUUGUUGCUUUGACUGAGCCACGCGUGCGUUGAAGCGCUGAGUGGCAUGCUGACUGGUUUAAGUGAAACGGCGCGUUUUGAUGUUUAAACCUGGACCAUUGAUCUGGAGCGCGCGCCAGAUCUGAUGGUUGUGGAUUUUUCUGGUUUUAUUCAAAUUAAUUCGUUUCCCUCCAUUUUCAUUUGAUUAUUCAACUAUUUUGCUUGUUUUGUAAAAUUCAUAAAAGAUGCAAAAAUGAUCCAAAUGAGUCCCAAUUUAUUUUCAUGGUUUUGUAUGGAUGUCUACUUUUUUAUGGUGCUGAUUUCAUGAAUUGUUGAUGUCUGGAUUUUUAUUUGUGAAUUUUUGAAUGAACAUUGUGCUAAUUUGAUCUAUUGCAUUCAAUGCAUUGUGAAAUCCUCAUCUUUGAGCCAUCUGAUCCAAUUUUUUGCAUACAUGACAUUCAUACAUAAUAUGAAUAAAUGAACAUUGUGCUAAUUUGAUCUAUUGCAUUCAAUGCAUUGUGAAAUCCUCAUCUUUGAGCCAUCUGAUCCAAUUUUUUGCAUACAUGACAUUCAUACAUAAUAUGAAUUAUUGGUCACUGGUUUUGAAUUUUUCUCACAGGUUAUCAUCAUUUUUGACACAUAGGGAAUAAUGUGACAAUUUGUGUCACAUUUUUGACAUUGAAUUGGUGCAUUUUUGUUCACAUAACAUUUGCAUCAUUCUGGAUUUGAUUUUUUGCAUGAUGAUUAUUCAUGACAUGAGGAACUUGUAAAAAAAAUCUCAAAGUCAUUGCGUGCAUUUCUGAUUUGGUAUGAAUUUUCUAAGUUGGAAGUUUAUUUUGUGCAUAUUUUUGGUCAUUGCAUGGCAUAGACAAUUAGAGGCAUUUGAUUUUUUGAUUUGAUGCUGGUCCUUUUGAGGACAUUUAGUGGAGUGUUGGAAGGUGUAAUGUGUAGAAGAUUGGGUUCUGGUUUGGUCAUUUGGUUAGGUUUUGAAUUCAUCUCUUAUGCUUUUGUUUGUUGGUGUUUUAUUGUGUUGUUUAAAUGCACAUAGACUAACUUUGUCUUGUGUUUCAGGUUUGGAUACUCAUCAUUGAUCUUGUGAGAUACAAAUGCAUUUGAGUACUGACCUAUUGUUGUUUUGUAGGGUUUUAACUGAUGUGGUGAACUCAUGAGCUCAUUUGAGUGCUAGGGCACUUAUGCACUGAAUUGUGUAAUUGUUAGAGGGUUUCACUGUAUGUUUUCUGGUUGUAUGACUGAAGUACUAAUUGUUUAGUCUUUGUACAGGUACUUUAGUUGCUUGCUUGCUUUAGCUCUUGCUUAAGCUUUGGAUUAUGGUUGACACACCACUCAGGUAAUUAGCUUCUUACUUCAUGUAGUCUGAAGUCCUGUCACCUUUUUGGCAGGCAUUUUGCUGGCAAGUCCUCCUUCAGAGGCUCUGUUUGUGUUUGUUUAAAAUUGUGCUCAAAGACCUCCAAGAAGAGGCAUGUGAUAUUUGAUAAGACCUCCAAGAGAAGAGGAAAUUGACGGAUAAAAGGGAUUAGUAGCCAAUCCCCCGUUAUUCAAUGUGUCGUUCUUUAUGCUCGCACUACGUGCUGAUGCUUCUGAACAUGUGCCCNNNNNNNNNNNNNNNNNNNNNNNNNNNNNNNNNNNNNNNNNNNNNNNNNNNNNNNNNNNNNNNNNNNNNNNNNNNNNNNNNNNNNNNNNNNNNNNNNNNNAAAUUCAACAAAAACAGUAAUAAUACACAGAAAACUCAAAAUAAAAACAAACCCUACAAUUCAACAAACUCCUCAAUCUUCCUUCAUUUCAUCGCCAUGGGUUGCACCACCUCCUGCACCCCCAAAAAAAAACUGGCCUGCCCUCGGGCCACUUAGCAUAAUCAACAUAAUCCUCCUAGGAAGGGAAUGAAGAGGAAUAGUUUUGAAAUUUGGAGGUUUGGAAGUGGAGCAGCGAAGUUGUUGAAAGAAUCUCCUAAGUUUGUGAAAAUAGGAAUGAAACGAAAAUGACAUAAAACAGAACUUAAAUGGUUCUGCCACGCUCAGUUCGCUGGGCGAACUCUGUUUGCUAGGCCAACUGAAGGAUUUUUUUUUAUUUUUUAUUUUUUAUUUAUUUUUUUAUAUUCAGUUUGCUGGGCGAAUUGAAGGAAAUUUCAAAAAAAAAUUGUUGGCAGUGGUCAGAACAUAAGUGGUUUUGUCACGCACCGUUCGCUGGGCGAACUUUGUUCGCGGCGCGAACUGAAGCUUUCCAUUCAGUUCGCUGGGCGAACACUGUUCGCGGGGCGAACGGCAAAAAACAGAACCCAAUUUUUCAAAAUUUAACACAGCAGAAAAUCAAUAAAACAGAAUUGAGAAAAUGUAAAAUUCAGACUUACAACGUUGGGUUGCCUCCCAACAAGCGCUUUGCUUAACGUCGUUUAGAGCUCGACGGUUCAACGGUCUUCACGAUCCGCCUUUGUUGAGAAACUUCCUCAAGGGCUUUGUUGUCUUCAAGAGGUUCUUGAUGAACCUUCGAUAAAAUCUGAUACCACCCGUUUUCGGAACUACUUGCACAACACUCACCCAUUCACCAUCGGAGAUAGAACAAAUCAAUCAUUAGUCCAUCAUCAAUAUCAAUCAUCAUUCGGGCCGUUUUCAUGAAUGGUCUUCCAAGAAUUAUAGGAACCUCACGAUCCUCAUCCAUGUCUACUAUCACAAAAUCUACCGGAAACAAGAAUUUUUCCACCUUCACUAACAUGUCUUGAGCAACUCCAUAUGGUGAAGUAGUAGACUUAUCAGCUAGUUGUAAAGUCAUCCUUGUAGAUUUGAUCUCAACAUUUCCCAAUAUUUUGACAAUGGAUAGGGGAAUUAAAUUAAUGCUAGAUCCCAAGUCAAUCAAGCCAUUACCAAUAUAGGUGUCUCCAAUGGUUACCGGUAAAACGACUCGGCGCGGAUCAGAUUCCUUCCUUGGGAGAUUCUUUUGAAUGAUGGCACUACAACGUGCAUCGAGCAAGAUUGUCUCGUCUUCCACAUGUCUUCUUUUCUUUGUGAGAAUAUCCUUCAUGAACUUUGCAUACCGUGACAUUUGCUCUAAUGCAUCAGCAAAUGGAAUAUUGAUUUGAAGUUGUUUGAAUAUGUCCAUAAACCGUGCAUAGUGUCUAGCAUUAUCCUUCUUUGAUGGUGCGUGCGGAUAAGGUAAAUGUUGAACUGGAAUGACAUUCACUCCUUUGUCUCUUGUUUUCUUUUUUCUUGGUUUAAUUUCCUUCUUCAUUUCCGCUUCACACUGCUGUUCUUCCAUCAAUUGCUGAUUCUGCUGUUUUCACGGCGCGAACUGAGCAGUUUGUGCCACUUUCUCCUUCCCACAAGCCACAUCCUCAUUUUCCAGCACAUCAUCCAUAUCAUUCUCAAUUGUAAUUUCCUCACUUUUUUUACUUGUCAACUCUCUACCGCUUCUAGUAAAAAUUGCUUUACAAUGCUCCUUUGGAUUAGUUUGAGUGUUAGCGGAGAAAGAAGAUCCUGCAGUUUGUUCCGACAGUACAAUGCUCCUUUGGAUUAGUUUGAGUGUUAGCGGAGAAAGAAGAUCCUGCAGUUUGUUCCGACAGUUGUUUCGCAAGUUGACCUAUUUGAUUUUCCAAAUUCUUGAUUGCUGCCUCGUUGCUCUUCUCAUUUGCCAUGGAGGCUUGCAUGAAUUGUUGGAGAGUGUCUUCUAGCUUUGAAUUUCCUCCUUGCGAUUGUUGUCCUUGAGAAUUUGGGUGUUAAUAAGGACUUUGCUGCUGAAAACUUUGGUUGUUGAACCUUGAUGGUUGAUAACCUUGAUUGUUCCUUUGAUAGCCUUGAUUUUGAUUGUUCACAUAGCUCACUUCUUCUAGUGGAGGGCAAAAACCAGUCGGAUGAUCUCCUUGGCAUAAUUCGCAACAUGCUACUUGAUGUCGAACUUGAGACCCUUGAAUUUCCUUCAUUUGCUGUGGAAGCUUGGCCAUUUGUUGAGUAAGCAACUCCACUUGUUGAGAGAGUAGCUUGUUUUGAGUAAGAAUGGCAUCAUUGGUAUUUAACUCAAGAACUCCCGAUUUCCGUUGUGAAGGGCUACGGUCAUGUUGACUUCGACGAUCAUUAAGUGCCAUCCGAUCAAUAAUGACUUUAGCUUCUUCAGCAUUCUUUGACAUAAGAGAGCCACCCGCGGUAGCAUCCAAAAGUGUUCUGUGAGUUGAUUGGAGCCCAUUUAGAAAAAUAUGGAUUUGAGUGAGCUCAUCAAAACCAUGACCCUUGCAUUUUCUCAACAUUGACUUGAAUCUUUCCCAAGCCUCAUUUAAAGACUCGUUGCUUCCUUGAGUGAAUACCGCAAUAGCCGUUUUGGCUUCCAUGAAUCGGGAUUGAGGGAAAUAUCUUUCUAAGAACUUUUCUUCUANNNNNNNNNNNNNNNNNNNNNNNNNNNNNNNNNNNNNNNNNNNNNNNNNNNNNNNNNNNNNNNNNNNNNNNNNNNNNNNNNNNNNNNNNNNNNNNNNNNNNNNNNNNNNNNNNNNNNNNNNNNNNNNNNNNNNNNNNNNNNNNNNNNNNNNNNNNNNNNNNNNNNNNNNNNNNNNNNNNNNNNNNNNNNNNNNNNNNNNNNNNNNNNNNNNNNNNNNNNNNNNNNNNNNNNNNNNNNNNNNNNNNNNNNNNNNNNNNNNNNNNNNNNNNNNNNNNNNNNNNNNNNNNNNNNNNNNNNNNNNNNNNNNNNNNNNNNNNNNNNNNNNNNNNNNNNNNNNNNNNNNNNNNNNNNNNNNNNNNNNNNNNNNNNNNNNNNNNNNNNNNNNNNNNNNNNNNNNNNNNNNNNNNNNNNNNNNNNNNNNNNNNNNNNNNNNNNNNNNNNNNNNNNNNNNNNNNNNNNNNNNNNNNNNNNNNNNNNNNNNNNNNNNNNNNNNNNNNNNNNNNNNNNNNNNNNNNNNNNNNNNNNNNNNNNNNNNNNNNNNNNNNNNNNNNNNNNNNNNNNNNNNNNNNNNNNNNNNNNNNNNNNNNNNNNNNNNNNNNNNNNNNNNNNNNNNNNNNNNNNNNNNNNNNNNNNNNNNNNNNNNNNNNNNNNNNNNNNNNNNNNNNNNNNNNNNNNNNNNNNNNNNNNNNNNNNNNNNNNNNNNNNNNNNNNNNNNNNNNNNNNNNNNNNNNNNNNNNNNNNNNNNNNNNNNNNNNNNNNNNNNNNNNNNNNNNNNNNNNNNNNNNNNNNNNNNNNNNNNNNNNNNNNNNNNNNNNNNNNNNNNNNNNNNNNNNNNNNNNNNNNNNNNNNNNNNNNNNNNNNNNNNNNNNNNNNNNNNNNNNNNNNNNNNNNNNNNNNNNNNNNNNNNNNNNNNNNNNNNNNNNNNNNNNNNNNNNNNNNNNNNNNNNNNNNNNNNNNNNNNNNNNNNNNNNNNNNNNNNNNNNNNNNNNNNNNNNNNNNNNNNNNNNNNNNNNNNNNNNNNNNNNNNNNNNNNNNNNNNNNNNNNNNNNNNNNNNNNNNNNNNNNNNNNNNNNNNNNNNNNNNNNNNNNNNNNNNNNNNNNNNNNNNNNNNNNNNNNNNNNNNNNNNNNNNNNNNNNNNNNNNNNNNNNNNNNNNNNNNNNNNNNNNNNNNNNNNNNNNNNNNNNNNNNNNNNNNNNNNNNNNNNNNNNNNNNNNNNNNNNNNNNNNNNNNNNNNNNNNNNNNNNNNNNNNNNNNNNNNNNNNNNNNNNNNNNNNNNNNNNNNNNNNNNNNNNNNNNNNNNNNNNNNNNNNNNNNNNNNNNNNNNNNNNNNNNNNNNNNNNNNNNNNNNNNNNNNNNNNNNNNNNNNNNNNNNNNNNNNNNNNNNNNNNNNNNNNNNNNNNNNNNNNNNNNNNNNNNNNNNNNNNNNNNNNNNNNNNNNNNNNNNNNNNNNNNNNNNNNNNNNNNNNNNNNNNNNNNNNNNNNNNNNNNNNNNNNNNNNNNNNNNNNNNNNNNNNNNNNNNNNNNNNNNNNNNNNNNNNNNNNNNNNNNNNNNNNNNNNNNNNNNNNNNNNNNNNNNNNNNNNNNNNNNNNNNNNNNNNNNNNNNNNNNNNNNNNNNNNNNNNNNNNNNNNNNNNNNNNNNNNNNNNNNNNNNNNNNNNNNNNNNNNNNNNNNNNNNNNNNNNNNNNNNNNNNNNNNNNNNNNNNNNNNNNNNNNNNNNNNNNNNNNNNNNNNNNNNNNNNNNNNNNNNNNNNNNNNNNNNNNNNNNNNNNNNNNNNNNNNNNNNNNNNNNNNNNNNNNNNNNNNNNNNNNNNNNNNNNNNNNNNNNNNNNNNNNNNNNNNNNNNNNNNNNNNNNNNNNNNNNNNNNNNNNNNNNNNNNNNNNNNNNNNNNNNNNNNNNNNNNNNNNNNNNNNNNNNNNNNNNNNNNNNNNNNNNNNNNNNNNNNNNNNNNNNNNNNNNNNNNNNNNNNNNNNNNNNNNNNNNNNNNNNNNNNNNNNNNNNNNNNNNNNNNNNNNNNNNNNNNNNNNNNNNNNNNNGGUGAAAAGAUAUCUUCGGCAAAUAUUUUUAUACGUAUCCACAGAGAUUGGUUGAUAUUACCGCCGUUCUAUAAUCCGAUUUGUUAUAAGUUUAGAAAGUAACAAAGUUGUUUUGGUUGGAAAAUUAUCUUGUGAGUAAAUGUCACUAAAAACAGUAAAAUGGUUUUAAUCAAAUGCAAAAGCUUGGCAAGAUUGGAGUUCAAUAUUUCAAAUGCUUAUGAUUCUUUAUGAUAACUAUAUAGAUUUAAGAUUAUUGAUGAUGUUCAAGUAUCCUCUCAAAGUCAUUUAUGUCUAAAUGAUAUUAUGAUAAUCACUAUAUUGAUCCUUAGACGAUCUCUCCACCUAACUAUCAAUAUAUCAAUCUUUAAUGUUUAAUACCAAAGAAGAGUAAUGAAUAAAUCUAUCUCUACAACUUAUUCACUACUUGAAAGUCUAUUUUAUGUCAAGACUCAAAUAAUCUCUUUCAACAACUACUCAAAUCUGGUUUUCAACUUAGGGCAAAAACAAUAUUCAAUACAUCAACAAUCUUUUUCAUAUAUAAAAAUCAAAUGGAAUACAUAAACAAAUGAGAAUAGCUACUACCUCCAAUCUUGACAAAAUGGAGUUUAGCUCCUCAUCAUCAUUGUUACAAAGCAUAAUGUUAAAAAAUGGAAGAAAAACUCUGUUUUUCUCUCUUACAAAAAUAUCUCAAUGUAUCAAUGUGUGAAUAAUUAUGAAUAAUGUGUUUUUCUCCUAAAAGAGUUGACAUUUCCUUAAUUGAUCAUUUCCAUCCAAAGCAGAAAAGCUAUUCCAAGACAAACACCAAAAUGGCAAGACAGCUGGUCAUGAAGGACAGCAGUUUUGGCCCAAAAUCAACUUGCUAGAUUCGCAGCCUUCGCGGCGCGAAGUAGGUUCGCGGCGCGAACUGAAGCUUAUCCAGCUUCCUUGCUUUGCAAGCUUCAUCCAAAAUCUUCCAAUUUGUGAUGUUUCUUUCCAAAAGCUCUUUCAUCUAAAACUUCUACAAAACUAACAAAUUUGUGAAAUAACUAUUCAAAGCAAAAUAAAUUAAAUCUAAUUGCAUUUAUACCAAUUAACAAGAAUACUAGUGUGUAAUUACAUCAAAGUUUGGUAAAAGGGACCAAUAAAAUGAUAUAAAAAGUAGUACUAAUUGGUCCCUAACAGUACGUAGGCACAAGUCCGAAGGUCUUGUCAGACAUAAAAAUAUAAUUAAUGAAUUCCUUUCUCAUCCCCUCACUCUAUUUAUUACAAACAUCAUUUUAUACCAAAACACGCACACACAUAAAAAGGGCUCCCUAGGAGUACCUAGGACACUUUGGGUGCUAACACCUUCCCUCUGUGUAACCAACCCCCUUACCUGUAAUCUCUGGCAUUUUAUUAGUUUUGAUUUGAAAACUUCUUAUCUUUGGGUUUUGUUUGUACUUUUCCCUUUUCCCUUGGAAACAAUAAAAGCGUGGUGGCAACUCUGGUUUUAUUGACGUUAAGUUUAUCCAUAGCUUAAUGGUCAUGAAUUUACCGCUACANNNNNNNNNNNNNNNNNNNNNNNNNNNNNNNNNNNNNNNNNNNNNNNNAAAGCAGAAAAGCUAUUCCAAGACAAACACCAAAAUGCGAAGACAGCUGGUCAUGAGGACAGCAGUUUUGCCCAAAAUCAACUUGCUAGAUUCGCAGCCUUCGCGGCGCGAAGUAGGUUCGCGGCGCGAACUGAAGCUUAUCCAGCUUCCUUGCUUUGCAAGCUUCAUCCAAAACUUCCAAUUUGUGAUGUUUCUUUCCAAAAGCUUCUUCAUCUAAAACUUCUACAAAAACUAACAAAUUUGUGAAAUAACUAUUCAAAGCAAAAUAAAUUAAAUCUAAUUGCAUUUAUACCAAUUAACAGAAUACUAGUGUGUAAUUACAUCAAAGUUUGGUAAAAGGGACCAAUAAAAUGAUAAAAAGUAGUACUAAUUGGUCCCUAACAGUACGUAGGCACAAGUCCGAAGGUCUUGUGACAUAAAAAAUAUAAUUAAUGAAUCCUUCUCAUCCCUCACUCUAUUUAUUACAAACAUCAUUUAUACCAAAACACGCACACACAUAAAAAGGCUCCCUAGGAGUUACCUAGGACACUUUGCGGUGCUAAACACCUUCCCUCUGUGUAACCAACCCCCUUACCUGUAAUCUCUGGCAUUUUAUUAGUUUUGAUUUGAAAACUUCUUAUCUUUGGGUUUUGUUUGUACUUUUCCCUUUUCCCUUGGAAACAAUAAAAGCGUGGUGGCAACUCUGGUUUUAUUGACGUUAAGUUUAUCCAUAGCUUAAUGGUCAUGAAUUUACCGCUACAAAUGCUUGUUGCUGAUACGACUGUUGUUAUGAUGGGUACUAUUGUUGAGGUUGAUAUUAUUGUUGAUUAUGAUAUUGUUGUGGUUGAUUAUGGUAUUGAAUGGAAUCCUGAUUUUGAAAGUCCCCUUGCUGAUCUUUCCAAGAGAAAUUUGGAUGAUUCUUCGAGCUUGGAUUAUAAGUGUUAGAAUAAGUGUUGUUCUGCUUCAGAAAAUUUAUCUCUUCAAUUUUUUGCACGGUUGUAACACUUUGGAUGGAAAAAUGGAUUCCCCCAUAGAUCUCACAAUUAAUAGCUUGAACAGGUUGAACUUGGGCCACUUGUUGAGUACCUAUAUUCAUUGCCUUAAGUUUUUUCUCAACUUCAGCAACAACUUGGUCUUCCAUCUUCACACUUUGAUUAGUAAGUUUCAAAUUGAUCACACCCUCAGGUCGGCUCACACUUCUAUCAUAUAAUUCUAGUUGUUCAUUUGCAACAAUGGCUUCUAUGAUCUUCAUGAUACUAGUGGUUGUUGUAAAGUUGAAUGAUCCACCAGCAGUUGUAUCAAUUAGUUGUUUAGUCUUCAAUUUGAGGCCAUUAACAAACAUUUGCAUCUGUUCAGUCUGAUCCAAGUUAUAAGUAGGACAAGCAACCAAUAACCUUUUAAAUAUCUUAUAAGCAUCACCUAGUGAUUCACCCUCCUUCUACUUAAAAUCCAGAAUAUCAUAUCUUUUUUGAAUAUAAACAGAAGUAUGAAAGUAUUCAUUCAUAAAAGUUGUUUCCAUCUGUUCCCAUGUAGUGAUACUUCCAGCUGGCAAUGAGUAAAACCAUUCUUCAACAUCUUCAGAUAGAGUGAACAAAAACAUUCACAAUUUUUUUGCUUCUUCAGAGUGCCCAUCUAUCUUCAAAGUAGUGCUCAUAGUAAGAAACCUAUGCAGAUGUUUAUUUGCAUCUUCAUUUAUUUUACAUGUAAAAGGCCUCUUCUAAAGCUAACAGAUGGUUGUAGGAUGAAACUGAAAAUUUAGGACAUUCACUAGUUAAUUCACUAUAGUCACAUGACCCUCGGGGCGUUUUCUCCUCCAUAAUCCCCAAGAAGUCUUUCUAGUGGUUUAUCCAUAACUUAAUCUUCUCUCUCUUUGUCAGAUUCUGUAUCUGAAUGCUCAGAAACUUCAAUCUCUUUUUCUUAUUCGGAAUCUAAAAUUUCUACUUCAGAGGCUUCCAACCUUGCUUCCCUAGCUUGUUUGAGCCUAGCGUGCAAAGUUCUUUCUAGUUUUGCAUCAAAAGUAAAAUCAGCCGAGGGCUUUCCUCGCAUACAAAGAUUAGACAAAGAUUAGUAAUAACCCAAAAAUAGACAUAAAAAUAAAAAUAAAAACUAAAAUUUAAAAUUUUAGUUGCAGAACAACAAAAUUUUAACUGAAAUAGAUCUAUGAACUCUAUAAUCUUUGGCAGUCCCCAACAACGGUGCCAAAAACUUGAUCGAUAAAUUGGCAAGUGUAUGAAUCUGCCAAUGUAGUAAUAAGAAGGGAAAUCCCUAGUAUCGAUCUUAAGGAUUGUUUGACGAUACAAAGUUCUGGAUAAAUUUCAGUUAAACAAAAUCCUUGGGGUUUGUGGAUUGAUUGGUUAAAUUAUGAAUAGAAUGCAAAUAAAGUUAACAAAGUAAUUGCAUGGUUUAGAAAGGCAUGAUUAAUAUGCUAGGGAUAAUGUAUGAUUCAAUUAUUUGACGAUUCUGAACUCACAAUGCAACAACAUAUUCCAGAUAAUUGACUACCAGUUCUUACAAGUGUUUACUCCUAAGUCCUUAGGGAGAAAGCCUUUAAUCAUUCUACCUAACUCCUAUAUCCAUAGAAAAGUACAAAUGAAAUUAAGCAUUAAUUUGUCAAGAAUAAUCCGGUUCUUAUAGGGUAUUCUUAGUCCUAGGUAACAUCUACUAUAAAAUAUUCUCAAGCAGAUUAGUAAUAAUGGUUGUCUAGCUUAAUUAUUACUCAUAAAUCAAACUCCAUUUAUCCGACAAAGAAAGCAUUAAAAUAUUCAAGAGAAUAAAUCAAAUAUGAUGAAAUAAAAUUGUUAUUGCAAAGAGGAAUUCGAAGUCAUUACAGUGACACCCCCUAGCAUUUAUGGGUUUAGCUACUCAUAGAAAUAAAACAAAACAUGAUAAAUAAUGUUUCCAUUGUAGAAAUUUUAGACGAGUUGAUCAUAAAUCGCAAAAAGCUCCUGAAAAUCUGAGUUCUCCAGCCUUCAAAACAUGUUUUUGCCUUCCAAAAUUGUCCAACCCGUGAAAAUUUGUGUUUUCUAGUUAAAUAGACAUUGUUUUCGGGCCUUCAACAAUUUGGGCCUUCAUACGCGUAUUUCCCAAGUCCGUAUGCGUGUGGCCUUGCUCUUGGCCCUACCAGAUAUGCGUAAGCCAACAUGGUUUCCCCAAGGUAGGUCCCAUAUGUGUAUCAUCAGUGUAUGGGAAGAAUCCCCCAUUUCCUCCCCUUUGUUGGUCCUCGUAUAAUACGGGGAAGGAUUCAGGUCCAUACGCAUAUGGACAUAAGCAUGUUCUUUUUCUCCUCUCUGCUGGUCUAUGUGUGCUACGCGUAAGGGUCUAUGGCCAUACGCGUAUGGGUAGAGCCAUAAUCUUUUUUUCUUUUUCUUCUUCUUCCUUGAUCUGGCCCGAUCUUUUCUCUGAUGCUAACUUCCCUUUUCCUUUUAUCCUGCAUCCAACAUGUCACACAUACCAAAAAGACGUAAAAAUAGCCAAAAGAAACUCAAACUAUAAAAAUAAUGUCUUGGCACAAUCUAACUCGAAAGAUCAAACAUUAAGACCAAAAGUAUACAGUUCACCUGGAUUUUUGAUGGAUAAACGAUGAAAGCUAUAACACAAAUGAUGAUUGAUCAAUCAGAUACAAUUUUUACACCGUCGUGCUAAAACCGAUAUCUGAGUACUUUCGCUGUCACGCAAAUAUUUUUGAAUUUUUUGAAGCAAAAUUUAUGGUGAACGCCAUGAGUACAAAAUUUGAAGAACGUGGUGUUAGAACAAGAUUUGGUUCAGCAUCUAUACCUUGAGCUUUGAUAUUAACAAUGUUGUAUUUGUGUGAGAACAAUUUUGGUACCCUAAUGGUUUGUUAUCGUGUAACUUUAACAGUCAAUUCUGAUUUUGAGUAUAUGACGUGUAACGUCAUUAGUUUUUGAACAUAGUGUUAGAAAUUCUGCUUCUGCAUUAAUCAUGAAAAGUUCCAAAAGAUGUCAAGUUGAUGCUGCAAUGUUCUUUUUGCUUCUAUGCUGAUUCACUCCUGAGGAGUUUCUGGAAAUAUGCUAUGUUGCUGCUACAAUGUUCUCUCUGUUUCUGCUUCUGGAUGUGACUCUGGUCAUCCAACUUAUGAAGAAUCGCAAGCUUAUAAAGUUUUGUUACUUAGCUGAAGAUUCUGAAGAUCUCAACCCAUACGUUGAGGUUAUCAAGGUUCUGACUGAAGAGUCUGAAUAUUAUGAAGAUCUCAGGCUAGAUUACUAAUGUUGUCAAGGUUCUGAUAUAAGAUUAUGAAGUUUCUGAAUCCAGCUAUAUGUUUCUUUGUUUCUUGCUUAAUCAACUAUUCAUCAGAAGCCAAUGAAUUUUAAGAUAAGAUCAAAAUAGAUUUUGGAGACUUGAAGAAAAGACUACUACAACAAGUUCGUAAGACUGUUUUUAACGUGAAAAAGAUCUAAACUUAGUUCAUACUUUUCUUUAAGUAUUUGUUUUUCAUUUGUGUAAAAUAUGCUUGUGCAGAAGCAACUUAUAAACACAAAACUUUAUUCAAACAUGUCGUUUGUAAUUCCUUAAGGAGACUAGGGUAUAGUCGGAUCCUUGAGUAGAAAAAGAAGGUUAUUCUUUGUGAUUAUUAUAAUCAUUUAGUUAUAGUGGAUUAAGUCCUUAUGUAUAAUACAAAAUCACCUUGGCGGAUGGAAUGGAGUAGCUUUGAGUUUCAAGUGAACCAAGAUAAAAAUGCUUUCGUUUUUAUCUCUUUGUUUUUAGUAUUUGUGUGGUGUUCUUCAGUUGGAAAAAAACUAUUGUUUUUAAAACCCAGUUCAAACUCCCCAUUUCUUGUGUUUUUCACACCUUCAAUUGGCAUUAGAUCUCAGAUUCUGAUAGUUAUAAAGUUUUUAUGAACACUUCACCGUGUUUAGUACUGAUCCAAUGUGUGUGAGAAAUAAUGGCCGCUGCUAACAACAACAUUGUCGCUACUAACUACAAUGAGAUGGGUCACUACAGUGCUAAACCACCAAUAUUUGAUGGUGAGAUGUUUGAUUACUGGAAAGAUAGAAUCGAAAGUUUCUUCUUUGGAUAUGAUAUUGAUCUCUGGGAUCUUGUAGUCAAUGGCCAUGUUCACCUAGUUAAUGUUGAAGGAAAUAAUAUAGCAAGAAAUGCUAUGACUGAUCAACAAAAGAAGGAUUUCAAAAAUCAUCAUAAGGCUAGAACGAUAUUUCUUCAUGAUAUCUCUUAUACUGAGUAUGAGAGGAUAACUAACAGAGACUCUUCUAAGUCUAUUUUUGAUUCCUUUAGAAUGACUCAUGAAGGGAAUGCUCAAGUAAAUGAGACAAAGGCUUUGGCCUCAAUCCAUAAGUACGAAGCAUUUAGAAUGGAAGAUGAUGAAACCGUUGAGACUAUGUUCUCAAGAUUUCAGAUGCUUGUUGCAGGCCUGGAAGUUUUGGACAAAGGAUACUCUAUGGUUGACCAUGUCAAGAAGAUAAUCAGAAAUCUCCCUAAAAAACGGAGACUAUGGUAACUACUUUGAAGUUGGAAAAUGAUCUUAACAAUAUUAGUCUUGAAGAACUUGUUAGUUCUUUGAGAAGCCAUGAGAUAUAACUCGAGGAAGAUGAACCUUAGAAGAGAGGUAAAUCUGUUGCUUUAAAGUCUAAGCCUGAGAAGAUAAGAGCUUAUAAAGAUGAGUAAGAAUAAAAAGUUUCUAAUGAAGAUUCAGAAGAUGAUGAUGAGUUGUCUUUGAUUUCCAAGAGGGUCAACAGACUCUGGAGGCAUAAGAAGAAUGGUCAAGGAAAGUUCAGAGGAGCUAGGAGGACUGUUGGUCAUUCUAAUUCUUCGUCUGGACAAAAGAAGCAAGGUUCUGGUAAAGAGGUUAUCUACUUUGAGUGCAAGGAACCAAGACACUACAAGAAUGAGUGUCCUAAGCCGAAAAAGGACAUAAGGCAUAAGAAUAAGUUUUCUAAAGGCAAGAAGGUGUCGAUGGCUACAUGGGAUGACCCAAAAUCUGAAGAAGAAGAUUCUGAUGAAGAACAUGCCAAUGUUGCAUUGAUGGCAACUAUAGCUGAUCCACAAGGUUCUGAAGAACCAGAGGACAAGAUGUUGUUAGAAUCAGAAUCAGACUCCAAUUCUGAAGCGAUAUUUUAUGAACUAUCUUGUUCUGAUUAAGAGUCAUAUCUCUAUGAAAUACUGAACGAGUACUAGAGUCUUUAAACUAAGUACAAUGACCUUAAACAAGUCCAAGUAGUUGCUUUUGAAACUCGUAGUGAGCUUGAGAAAGAUAUUUCUUCCCUAAAUGAAAAAAUAUUUUCAAUGCUUUGAAAAGUAAAAUUUCAAAACUAGAGGAAGAAAUAGUCUUAGAAGCUUCUGGUACUGAUUGCAUCAUUAGAUAUGAUAGAGCAUUCUAGUACUUUCUGGCUAAAAGCAUAUAUAAAAGUAAAAUGGCUUCCUUGAUCUAUAGAGUUAGCAAAAAUGGAAAGAAAGGUUUAGGUUAUACAUAAACUAUAAAACCCGACGAAAGUCAGAAGGUUAUAUUGAAACCUCUCUAUGAGCAUAUCGUGUCUGCUGGCACGGAGCUUGAUUUUUCUACAUAUACACAAAGACUUACACAGGAUAAGAACUCAGUUCUGAAACCGAAGUAUCAUGCACAAAUUUCACUUGAUUAUCCUAUUUCACAAAGACCCAAGAGUGUAAGAAACUCUAGGAAAACUAACAAGAGAGGACCCAUAAAGUGGUUACCUUAGGAUAAGAUCAUAUAUGUUGAAGACAUCCUUAGCAGCUCAGUUGAAACACCAGUUAUGGUACCUGGACAAUGGAUGCUUGCGACAUAUGACGGUUAGAAGGUCAAUGUUCCAAGAUUUGGAACUUAAUAUUAGAGGCUUCGUUGGUUUCGGAGGAAACCAGAACGGGAAGAUCAUUAGCUCCGGAACUGUUGGUAACAAUAAACUUCCAUCUAUUACUAAUGUUCUUUUGGUGGGUGGUUUGAUGCAUAACUUAUUGUCUAUUAGUCGACUUAGUGACAAUGGUUAUGACAUCAUUUUUAAUCAAAAGUCAUGUAAGGUUUUUAGUCAAAAAGAUGGUACAAUCCUUUUUAACGGAAAGAGAAAGAAUGACAUUUAUAAAAUCAGACUUUCUGAUCUUAAGGGUCAAAAUGUAAAAUGCCUAAUGUCUGUUAAUAAGGAGCAAUGGGUAUGGCAUAAACGUUCGUGGCAUGUUAGCAUGAUAAGGUUUUCUCAGCUAAAUAAGCUUGGAUUAGUCAGAGGCUUACCCAACCUAAAGUUCGCUUUAGAUGCUCUUUGUGAAGCAUGUCAGAAAGGCAAGUUUUCUAAAACAUCUUUCAAAGUGAAAACUGUUGUUUCUACAUCUAGACCGUUAGAACUUAUGCACAUUGAUUUGUUUGGGCCAGUGAAAACUGCCUAUAUCAGUGGUAAGAAGUAUGGAUUGGUCAUCAUUUAUGACUAUAUUCGUUGGACAUGGGUAAAGUUCUUGAAACACAAUGAUGAGUCACAUUCUAUGUUCUUUACUUUCUGCUCACAGGUGCAAACAGAGAUGGAUUGCAAAAUAGUCAAAGUCAGAAGUGAUCAUGGUGGAGAAUUUGAAAAUAAACAUUUUGAAAGUAUUUUUGAUGCAAAUAGAAUUUCCCAUGAUUUCUCCCGUCCUAGAACUCCAUAGAAAAAUGGGGUUGUAGAAAGGAAGAGUAGGACUUUGCAAGAAAUGACUCGCACCAUGAUCCAAGAGAUUGAUAUGGCUAAGAAUUUCUGGGCAGAAGCAGUUAACGUAACUUGUUAAAUUCAGAACAUGAUUUCUAUUAGACCUAUUCUAGGUAAGACUCCCUAUAAAUUAUGGAAGAACAGAAAGCCCAACAUUUCUUACUUCCAUCCUUUUGGCUAUGAGUGUUUUAUGUUGAACACUAAAGAGAAUCUUGGCAAGUCUGAUUCUAAGGCACAAAAGUGCUUAUUGUUAGGAUAUUAUGAACGCUCAAAAGGCUACAAAGUCUUUAAUAGUGAGACACAAGUUAUCGAAGAAUCAAUUCAUGUAAGAUUCAAUGAUAAGCUUAACCCUGAAAAGUCAAAGCUAGUAGAGAAAUUUGUAGAUAUGAAGAUUAAUUUCUCAGAAUCUGAAGAUAAAGACUCAGAAGGUAAAGCCAAGGACGCUGAAGCAAAACACUCGUAAGUGACUCAACCAGAAGCCAUUGUUGGUCCAAAUAAGAAGAAGAGUUGAUCAAGAACUUCUCAUUCUGAAGAAUUGAUUCUAGGAGAUAAAGACGCACCAGUCAAAACUCGAUCUUCAUUCAAACCUUUUGAAGAAACUGUUCUGGGUUUGGUAUCUCUAAUAAAGCUCAUAUCUAUUGAUGAAGCUCUUCUGGAUAAUGAUUGGAUUUUGGCUAUGCAAGAAGAACUAAAUCAAUUCACCAGGAAUGACAUCUGGGAUCUUAUUCAGAAACCAAAGGGUUUCCAUGUCAAUGGAACCAUAUGGGUUUUUAGAAACAAGCUCAAUGAGAAGGGCGAAGUCAUCAGAAUCAAGGUUCGACUAGUAGCAAAAGGUUAUAGUCAACAAGAAGGUAUAUACUAUAUAUAAACCUUUGCUCUAUUUUCCAGGCUAGAGUUUAUUCAUUUUUUAAUUUCAUUUGUAGUCAAUCAUAUCGUCAUUCUUUAUCAGAUGGAUGUUAAGAGUGCAUUCUUAAAUGGGUACAUUUCUGAAGAAGUGUAUGGGCACUAACCCUUGGUUUUGAAAGUUUCCAAAACCAUGAUUUUAUUUUCAAACUCAAAAAGUCGUUAUAUGGUAUGAAACAAGCUCCCAGAGCUUGGUAUGAUAGACUAAUCAACUUCCUUUUGGAAAAUGAUUUUACUAGAGGUAAAGUGGACACUAAUCUCUUUUGAAAAACCAUUAAGAAUGAUAUCCUGGUUGUCAUACCCCAAUUUUGUUCGGGCAUUUUUAAAUUUUUGUAAAUUUCGAUUUCACUUUUUUUUUUAUAUCAUAUGCACAACAUGACAUGCAUUUCAUCAUGAAUAAUAUCUAAAAUAUCAGUCAGAAUAUAAUAUUGAAAAUACAAACAAAUUGGUUAAAUCGUUUCUCAAGUACGUGCAAAAUCAGCGGGUAAAAAGUUUCAAAAUUAAAAUUACAGACGUCAGUAUCAUUAACCUACUGUUCACGUAGUUUAUUGGUGUGCUCCUUGUAUUUUUCAGGGACUGUUUCGGCUGCGUUUUGACCCGCCUGAGCCUUUUAAUCGGUGACAAUUUAUUUUAGAAUUUGAAGAAACGCUGUAUUUUUUCAAUAAGUGUAUUUUGUGGUGAUCAUUUUGGUGCACCCGAUUUAAUUUUUCGAGCAAAUUUUUACCCGACUUUUUUUGCAUAAUCAGUCAUUUUAUUUUUAUCCUUUCGCCAAAACAUUCAGAAAAUUGAGAUUUCCAUGUCUUCAUUUUAUUUUUACCAUAUUCAUUUUAGAAGUUGUGGAUUUAAAUUUGAUUUCAUUUAUCUAAAUUGUUUUAAGUCAAUUGAACCAUCUAGAAGGGGCACCUUUGAUAUUUUUAGAAUUAGUUAGCAUUUGUGUUUCUUUGGUUUAAUCUCGAUCGUUAAAUCGAGAUUAAUCAAAGGUCUAUAAUAGUUAUCCAUGUGUGUUUCUAUUUACCAAUAAUAAAAUCAAAUAAUAAUAAUAUUAAUAAUAAAGAGAAAAAAUCAAUUUAUGGUUGUGCAAAUAAGGAUAGGUGGCGUUGGAUUAUUGACUCCUUUUUCUUAAAUUUAGAAAAAAGAAAAAUGCUAAAAAUACUACCCUUUAGGAUUUUUUUCGGUGGCCUCUCGGAUCACUCUCAAACAAAAUUCAUAACAACUCAUUAUUGGCCAGGAGAAAAUGAGCUAUCUCCACUCACAGCUGGAAACAGAAUCCACUCUCUUUCUCUCUCUCAAAAAACAACUCUGAAAAGAAAGAAAAAAAAAGAAUAGAUAUAUCUCAACGAGUACACAAAAGGACAAAAAAAUCUCAUUCUGAAAAAAGACGUUACAUCCAUUUAAAUUUCUCUCUCUCACCACUCAUAAAAGAGCUACCCACUCACCUAACUUUCAGAAUCUCUCUCACGGGUUCCUCACAUUACAAAAAGAUAAAAGGAAAAAGGAAAUUAAAAAAGGACUGACAAAAAACUCUCUCACCUGAUACCAUUCCUUCUCUCUCGUAAUAACCCUCUCUCUCUGACUUCAAAAAGGCAACGAAAAAAAGAAAAAAAAUAAAUUGAGAGGACUCUUCCUCUUAUUCGGAAUCUUAUCACUCUUCACCAUCGGACCGCCUUCAACAACCUCUGUCGUCGAAAACCUCACUGCCAUAAUCGUGCCACCCUUCACCCUCCUUCAAACUCUCCGUCGGCGAAAAACAGAAACACCGCGAGCCCCUUUUUCAACAUCGUCCAAACCCUUCGUCUUCGUUACAACCAUACACCGCCGUCUCCACCAUCCAAAUCCCAUCUCCGUCUUCACUCAACUCACAACCGCAACCAACAAACAACACCAUGAAACCGUUUUUGCGAAACGAAACUCAACGAAUCUCCUUCCUCACGAAAUCACCGUCGCCACCACCGACAUCUCACGGCUAUUCACAAUAAACCCUCACGACCGCCUCCGCUCCUCUCCCACACUUCCUUCGUGGCCACCGCGAAAGCCACCACGCGUCUUCUCCUUCACAUUCACGGAUGUCUUCUCCUUCCGAUGCCAGAUUCAAACGCAACACAAACAAACAACCAGCCGCUCUACAGCAAUAAGAGGAGCAUAGCACCAAAGGAAAUAACGCAGAAGGAUGGGUCUAGCCGCACUCCGUUUCCGUUAUAAUUUCAAGUUCAUUUCCGACGAACUCACAGUACUUCCAAUCACCCCAAGGUCGUCGAACCCGUAGGUAUAUCACUAUAAAUCUCAUGUUGAUUGGUUUAUUAUUUUUUUUGUUUUUUCCAAUUGGAGUAAGGUAGAGAUUAAAUCGAGGAUGCAAGGGUUUGUUUCAUCGGUCUUAAAGAUGAAAAAUAAUGUUCUGCAUUUUUAAAGAGCGAAAGAAAGCAUAGUGGAAAUUUCAAACUUAUUAUGAGCCUUGAUUUUCCUAAUGGUAAUGUAAAAGUUAAACUGGAUUUUUACGUUUUGUUACUUGUUUGUUUGACUGAACUUUUUUUUUAUAAUUAUUAUUACAUGACAAUAGAAUUAGUAUUUUGGUUGUAGAAAGAGUUGUCUGCAUAUAAUUCAUUAUGGUCUUGGUUUUCUUUUUAUCCAGGAAAGUUUUAGAUUCGAUCGAUAAUGCUUAAUAGUAUACAUUGAAUUCUUUCUUAAAUCACGUUUGGAAGGGUCCUGCAACUCUUUUUAUUUUUUUCAAACUUGGACAUCAUUGGUUUUAAAUGCUACUUUGUUUUAAUUAAUUGUAUUAGUAUCCCUUGUUCUAACUGAUUUAUUAGUUCACAACGUUACAACCAUUUUUCUCAAAUAUAUGGUUGGUUCUACUAUUAAAAUUUAAAUUAGAUUACUAAUUGCCUAAUGGAUUUUAUAUUGUAUAUAUAUAAAUCUGAUCCAAUCAUAUGGUGUUGUUGUUAACAUUCAGUUAAUAUGUUGUGUAUAACCUUGGCUGGUUUCUAUGUGGUUUCAAUUCCAUUAUGAUGAAGUUGGAAUUUCGACUUGCAAGUACGAGAUUUUUGAUGUUUUGAGCACAUUGUAUCCACCUUGUUUUAGUCACUUUUAAAUCAAAUUUGUUUUAAUUGAAUUGAUUGAUUAAUACAAAUUUUGUUUAAAUUACUUGGUUGUGAUGAUCGAUUACCUUGGAAAUUUUAGUUAAUCAAAUGAUUUUGAUUUUGAAUUUUGAUUGGGUCAAUUAGGUAGUUUGUUUAAAUUCCAAUCAAAUAACUUUAUUAAUUAAAUAUUGACCAAAUUAUUUUAUCACGAUGUCAACCUCUUCCAAACUCGAAUUGAUUUCAAUCUUAUCAAUUCGAAAUCAUUCACCCAUUCAAUAAAAACAUAAUUCUCGAUUCAAAGUCGAGCCCAUUUUUAAAUACCCUUGUAAGUCGAUAGCUUUUCGCAUCGCCAUCAACCUCACAUAGCUUUCUCUUGGGCUUUCUUAUUAUGAGACCUAGUCGAUUGUUAAUUGAUCGAUUAGAUGAUUGAUUCACUAAAUAAAAUCCACUUUAUUCACAAAACACAAACUUAAAACCUCGAUCCACCAUCAAGUAUUUCUAUUCAAAUUAUUAAGAUGCCCAAUCACAAUCAAAUACCAUUUCAUUUGGAAAUGAAAAGGGGGAUGGCUUUGAGUUUUCAAUUCCUUUCCUCGAUUAUUUGAAUAUGAGUUCUCUUAUUCGGUGAGUCAAAUAGUCGUCACUUCCAUCCACCUAAGCACAAACGAAUCGAAUCAUUUUUAUAAUAAGAAACAAAAAGGGAGAUGACUUUGAGUUUUCAAUUUUUUUCUCCUCGAUUAUUUGAAUACAAGUUCUCUUACUUGGUUAGUCAAAUAAUUAUCGUUCCUCUGCAAGCUUCCAAACCCCGAUUAAAUCAAAUUAUUUUCAUAAUAAGUUAAAUGAAAAGGGAGUUGACUUUAAGUUUUCAACUUCUCCUCAAUUGUUUGAAUACGAGUUCUCUUACUUGGUCAAUCGAACAAUUUUCAUUUUUCCACCAACAUAUAAGUUAAUCAAAUCAUUUCAUAAUAAACUAUACAAAAAUGGAGAUGGUCUUGAGUCUUUAAUUCCUCUUCUCAAAUGCUUGGAUAUGAGUUGUCUUACUCACCCAUUCAAGUACUUUGUCGUCUAUUCCAAAAUACAUCAACCAUACGCAAACCUAUUUUCAUAAUCACUCAGAUGAAAAAGAAAAUGGUCUAGAUUCUUCUAUUCCCUUUCUCGACUAUUAGGAUGCGAGUUGUCUUACUCGACUAUCCGAGUAUUCGUCAUCCAAUCAAAAACACCUUAAUCAUCAUUAAAAUCCUUUCACAAUUAAGGAUGAAAAAGAAAGCGGUCUAGAGUCUUCUAUUCCCUUUCCCGAUUAUUAGGAUACGAGUUGUCUUACUCGGCCAUCCGAGUAAUCAUCAUCCAACCAAAAAUAUCUUAACACAUCAAACUUAUCUUUCUCACCCUCGUGCGAUCGAAACCAGUCAAACAAAACAUUAAACACAUCAAUUCAACUCGUCACCCCCCGCGUGACCAAAACCCUUCUUUCAAAAAGAACACUGUCAAUCCUUUCUAAUGCGCACAACAAAUUAGUGCUAGAGCCUCCACCGAGAGUAGACAAGUCAAUGUUUAGCCUUUAGAACGCCGACCUACACAUUCGUUCAUAAAACAAAACACAUCAAUUAUUUGUAGUUCCCCGAACUACAAAUGCUCUGAUUUCCUUAUUACACCAUAAGGAUACGUAGGCGGGAGAUUGCUAUAUCUUCGCGAGCACACUAAUAAAAAACCUCCCUUUUCUCCCUUUUGAGGUCUUCAUCCAUAUAUAUUAUCAACUCUAAUUACUCGAAGAAAACAAACAACGCAAGUUAACACUCAAAUCUCAAAAUUGAACUAAAAGGUUCCCGUUGAGAACAAUGGACGUGAGGGGUGCUGAUACCUUCCCCUUGCGUAAUCCACUCCCGAACCCGAAUAUGGUUGCGACGACCAUUAUUCUAUUUUUCAAAGGUUUUAUCAAUAUUUUCCUAUUCCUUCAUUGGGAUAAAUAAAGUUCGGUGGUGACUCUGUUCGAACUAACAUUUUUCCACGUCCAUCGCGAGGGAUCACAUUUUUUCCGAGGUGCGAAAGCUGGCGACUCUGCUGGGGACAUGCUCCAAGCAAGAGAGAGUGAAGCCUAACUUUGUUUAAUUUUUGUAUUGGGUGUUAACCUUGUUUGUUUGAUUUUUUAUUCUGUUAUUAUUUUGUUGUAAUUAUUAUGUUGUGGUUUAUUUCCUAUGAUACUAUUGGGGUUCUCUGAUUGUUGGUACUUUGUGAGAUAGGCUUUCUACCCGAGUCUGAGAAAAACCAUAAGAUUAAGUUGGUGGUUGCGUAGUGGACGCCCACAAGGAGUCUUCCUUGUUGGGAAGAUACGAAGACCCCGCCUAGAGGAGAUUCUCUUGAGAUAUUAUUGUCCGACAAGCCUUCGUCACGGCGAUGGUGUUUCAAGUUGGAUCAAUGACUCUAGGGACCUUUUAACCCUAUAUCCGGAGGUUAUGUAGUAUUAACCUACGAAGUUUCAUACUUGUUAGGUUAAUACGAAAACCCCAAUCAGAUGAGAUCCCUUGGACGUAUUAUUACCUUACAGUAAUAUUUCCAACCUCGAUCUAUGACUCUAAGAACCUUGUUAGAACCUUGAACUCGAGAGUUGCGUAGUAUAAUCCCUAUGGAGCCUUCCUUGUUGGGACAAUACGAAGACCUCUCCUAAGAUGAGAUUAUCUUAGGGGUAUUACUGUCCGACGAGUCUUCGUCACGGCAGUGACGCUUUCAAUGAGAAUCGAUGACUCUGGGAACCAAUUAACUUUGGAGCCUACCCUUGGGAAUUUCAGUAAUCAGAGAAACCUCUACUUCUUCCUUUUAACUUGACGUACACGACGUGUGAAUGAUCUUGAGUAUUUCUAUUCCUUUGCGAAAACAUGGCAAAAUUUCAUGCAUUUGCAUAUCAUAAACAUGCAUUGCAUACCAUCUUCCAGAAACAAAAACUUACACCAUAUUCUACCCUUUGUCCAGUAACACUGACUACUCAACACCGGUACGAGACACGCCGCAACUACAGGAUGACACUCGAACAACUUGAAGCAAACCAGGUUUUAAUGAGGACAAACAUCGACUCCAUGCAAGCGAAGAUGGACCAUUUGCUUGAAACAAUGUUGCUCUUAGCCCAGAAGGAGAAGGAUGCUGAGACUAGCGCCGAUGCCAGAAAAGUUGCUACUCAGUUUGGAUCACCAUCACUUAGCAUCCAUGGAGUGAUUGACCAUGAUGGUAACCUUAAUCAUCUUAAAGGAGGACCGACCCCUAUUCCAUUCCCGAUGGUCAAUGUAAACCCCCAUGAGCAUUCUGCUACAUCUGCUCGACAUGGAUCCAUGAUGGGUGAUGAAGAUCCGUAUGACGCUUUCUUCAUGCCACAACCCGCCAAACCUGUUAUUGGAGGUCUCUUAGACCCAACUGUUGAGAGACUCCAUGCUUUAGAAGAGAAGUUCAAGUCCUUUGAGGUUCACACUACUCUCGGUUUGGACGUCGUUGAUAUGUGCCUAGUGCCAUGACUCGUGAUUCCACAAAAAUUCAAAGUCCCAUACUUUGACAUGUACAAAGGGAUCAGCUGCCCUAGAACUCACCUCAGAGCUUAUUGCCGCAAGAUGGCUGCCCACAUCGGUAAUGAUCAACUCUUGAUUCAUUACUUCCAAGAUAGCCUCAAUGGGGCAUCCUUGGAGUGGUAUAUGCAAUUAGAAAGAGGACAAGUCCAGUCAUGGAGAGACCUUGUUGAAGCCUUCCUUAGGCAUUAUCAAUACAAUAUUGAUCUAGCACCCAAUCGCACCCAGCUGCAAGACAUGACUCAACGCAACAAUGAGUCAUUCAAGGAAUACGCACAACGGUGGAGAGAGCUAGCAGCCCGUGUCCAACCUCCUCUCCUUGAUAAGGAGCUAAUUGAUAUGUUUAUGGGAACUCUUCAUACUCAAUACAUGGAGAAAAUGGUAGGAUCCAGCUUCCCAACUUUUGCUGAGGUUGUCUCCGUGGGAGAACUAAUCGAGAGCCAGAUCAAGAAGGGAAAGCUACCUUGCGCUGCCAAUGCUUCAAGUGGGAUGAAGAAACCUUAUCCUAAUCUCCCAAAGAAGCUAGAAGGCCAGACCAACGCCAUAAUGAGAGGAGGAGGAUAUAUGACGCCUCCGUAUGUUCCUAUGCCUUAUCAUCAGGUUGUCGUUGUCAUCCCGACACCGUAUCAGCCACCAUAUCAGCAACCAUAUCAGCAACAACAUCAGUUGCCGUACCAACAUCCGGCUUACCAACAGCCACACCAGAAUCAACAGCAACGUGCUCCACCGUAGCGUCAACCUAGUCAACAGAGGGCAAGGAGGCCAAAAAGACAUUUCGAUCCUUUGCCAUUGCCUUACAGCAAGAUCCUUCCCUACCUGCUAAAAGAUGGAUCAGUUGUUUUGAAGGAGCUAACACCUGCAACUCCGCCCUACCCACCAGGCUAUGACACCAAUGCUCACUACGAGUAUCAUAUGGGUGCCCCAGGGUACACCGUAGAAAAUUGCAAGGCCUUCAAACACAAGGUCCAAGAUCUGAUUGACAGUCAGGCAGUUACUUUCACGCCAGUUAGGCCAAAUGUUGCAACAAAUCCCAUGCCAGCGCAUGCAGAGCAUAGUGAAGCUCGAAGAUAGAGCUCCCCACCGGCCUGAACAAGCGGAGCACUUCCUAAACGAAGAAUCAAGAGAUGAAGGCCCGUUUCUUUGAAUGAAGGCAAUCAUUAUGCCAUUUUUACCGUUUCGCAUUCUUGUAAUUUGUUCUUGUUUGUCUAAGUAUUGUAUGGCUUUAAACAUUGUUAUUUGUAUUUGGUUCUAUUAAUGGGAUGAUUAUGCAUGUUUUGAAUCAAUCUUUCAUAUUCACUCAUACCAUUUAUUUGCAAAGCACAAAGCACAAACACAUACUUUUCCACUUCACCUUCUUUAUCACACUAUUGUUAGCAAAUGUUGGAAGGAGGAUGACGAAAACAAAAUACUCAUAAUUGGUGAUUGUAUGCUUUUGGAUAAAAUCCUGCUAAUGAUGUACAAGCAUUGUUUCAAAUCUCCAAACACUGGAGAGAUAAGGAGUUAAUCCCUAGUUAACCAUUUCGGGCCUAGAAGUAGGAGUUUCUUUCAGAUCUACAAACCCUUACGCUUAACCUGGGGCAGGGUAGUGUUCAGUUGAUCUGACUACACAUUCGAAUUACAAGAUGAAAUUUCCCAUACAAGGAUCAAUCACAUGAUAUUCUUCGCACACAUCCUGAAGUGUCGAAGGAACCAUACAAAAUCCAAAAUUUAUGUCCGUUAUUCUUUAAUGACUAAUGACUUGGCAGUCACAAUUUUCCAAAAAAAAUCAAAGAAAGAGCUCGCUAAGUCAAACAUCCAAAAAGGAGACUUAGGCAAAAACUAGGGCAAUCCCGAUGGAUUAAAGCUUCAAAAAGCGGUCCAUGCAAAAUUAGGGAUCAAAACAAAGAUCGAGAGAGACAAUGAGAGUCCUCAACAAAACAAAACAAGAUUCAGUGACCACCAUACCCAAAUCAAAGGGUCGCCAACAUCCAUGAAUAGCAAGAUAGGAUGACUGUCAUUUCAAGAAAUCUUACACUGCUGAACCCUCGCAAAAGUAAGUGUGUGUCGAAUUAACUGAACGUAAGAUCGGAGAUCAUCAUGAAGAAGGGGUGGGUUAAAGUAAACUUUGAGCUUUAUAUCCUUUUGUUUCAAUAACCAUGUGCCAAGCCACGUUACAACCUACGAAAGACCUAAUUGAAGUAAGGUUUAUUCUGAAAGCAUACUACAUCAAGGUUGAGUGAGCUGACUCCUAGAGAUUUGCUAAUAUUCUAUUUUCACUAUAUCACUCACACACUAGCUAAAUCGACACCGCGUCUGGACUCAUGGUCCACUCGCCAUACACUGCUACGAUACUCCUAAUGAACGAUUGUUUUUCAAAACUUGCAUGACUAUUGCAUUAAAAUCACCAUUUCUUGGAUAACAAUUCUUAAUUGUCAGUCAGUACUUGACAUCGAGAAAAUUCCAACAAGGGGAAAUUCAAGAGGUACUUGAUAAUUGGUGCUGACACGAAUCAAGACCAUCUCAUAAAUCAGGGGCAUGGCAUCUUUUGAUUAUGUUGACUUAGGAAGCAGUCAGUAUAAGGCAAAUCUCCAGAGCAUUGGUUGACCAGGGAGGAAAAACACUUCAACACUCAGUCCAUCUGGGGCAGGUCCCUCACAGGCUAAUCAGGGAGCGAACCGUUACAAAGAUUUAGGAGCUGAAAAAAACAAACUCAGACCAUGUCAUGGGAUAAUCACUCCUAAAGUUUCCUUUCAAGGAGAAUGCCAUUUGAUACCCUACAGACUGGGGCAAGACAAGUUGCAAGGGGCAAGUUCCCUUCAUAUCUUCAAGUCAGUCAAGAAGAUUGCGUCAGACACUAGUAACUGCUUGAAUUCUCAAUAAAGACGUCGGAAGUCCAUGCUAGUACGACAUCAUAUCUUGACAAGAAUCCUCAUGGCACGUCAAAGGCAUAAUCAUCAUGCGUUGAUCAUGUCGCUAUGCUCAGUAACAUGCCAUCCAUACAUCUCAGCAGAAAAAGUAGAGAUCGCCUCGGGAGCAAAGACACAACGUAUCACAAGAGAUCAAACUUGGGGAACCAAGAGUAUUCGCAUCUACUACGUGUUCAUCACAUCAUCAACUACCGAGUGUCGGGAAGUCAGAUCCUUUCCCCAACCAACAACCCAACCCACAUUGACAGUUACCAGAAAAAACCAAAGUCCACCUUACUAGCAUCCCUCAUAAAAAACAAACACAACCAGCAUUGGUUUCCAGAAAAUACAUCGCCUUUGAAUAAGGGGGGAGGGGGGGGGGGGGGGGGGCAAUCCCAAACAAACCAAUCAUUCUUUGCAUUCAAACAUGCAUCAUAUGCAUCAUCUCAUACAUCUUUGAAUGCAUAUCAUUUAUGCACAAAAACACGAAUCAAAAUCCAAGGUUAAGUCGUAGGCAUCCAGGCCACCAUUUGCACUUAGUUUUCAUCAUCCAUCCAGCAUGAAUCUUCAAGAAUCGGUAACACUUUGUUUUUUCUUUUAGUUGAUUUCUUAAGUUUAUCGCAUUUUAUGAAUUUCUGCUUGUUUUAUGUUGUAUUAGUAGUUCAUCUCUUUUUGUCGCAUUUUAUGCGUUUCUGUGGUAGUGUUGUUUGGUUUCCAGGUCUAACAAUAAGCCUGAAAUAUGCGUACCGGAAGAAUUAAAGUCAAGGACAUCGUGCAAAGCGAGAAAAGGCAAAAACAGGGGGCUGACACGGGUGCCCGUGUCAGCUGACACGACCUGUGUCAGUAUGUGCAGAAUACAGAUUGUGGAAUCCAGAAACCAAGGGGUUGACACGGGUGCCCGUGUCAGCAAGGGCUGAAGAGUUUGAGUUGACAGAGAGCCAACAUGGGCGCCCGUGUCACCUGACACGGUCCGUGUUGGCCAAUUCGCCAUGUUUGCUGAUUUUUAUUGUUUUGAUCCAUGUGUACGUCCGGAGGGCAGUAUGGGUAUUUCACGAUGUUUUUAGUUGAUUGGAAACUAUUUAGUCUGCAUUUUGGUGAAGAGAGAGGACACUUUUGAUCGUACAAGAAAAAGACAGAAAGGAGAAGCGAACUUUCAAGGUGUUUAGAGAAGAAGAGAUCUUCAAGAUCGGAAGAGAUUGAAGAUCAACCUUCAUCAACAACAAAUUGUACUGUCUCUAUUUUGUAAUUUACUAUCUUUGAAUAUUAUGAGAAGUUAAACCCCCCAAUGCUAGGGGGUGUCCCUGAAUUGCUACUGUAUGAACACUUUUUCUAUGUUUUUAUGAUCAUCGAUGUUUUCUUAAUUCAAAUUAUUAUACAACGUUCUUAAAGCUUUAUUUUAUCGGACAAAUGGAAUUUUGAUCUCUGGUUAAGGUUUAGGUCGGACAAACCACCUUAUCGCUUGUUGUGUAAUAAUAUUUCGGUUUAAUCACUUAGGAAUAAGGAUCAAACCGUAGUAACCGUUAAUUCUUGCUCAAUUGCAUAUUUCGUAACGUCAUUUUGAAUAACUAAGGAAUUAGGAUUGAAAUUGACUGUUAAUGGUUUUCGGCUAAGGGAUUAGAUAAAACAAUUCUUGAGAAUCAGUUUUGAAUAAUUACAACGUAGAUGUUAUAUAAUAUGGAAGGAGUGUAGUACAAAGCAAUUCACACAUAUUGCCUUAGCAUGCUUUCUCAUAUCGCUUAACAACUUUUUAUAUGCUUUAUAUAAUUUAUUCUUGUUCUUAUCAUUUUGAAAACAAUCAUUAAACCCCCUAUGAUCUUUUGUUCAAUGGAAUUAUUGUAAAGAUUUGUACUUAUUACGCAGUCCUCAAGAUGAUACUUGGGAUAACUCCCAUUUCAUUACUACAGUGGUGCAAAUAGUACACUUGCUAUUUUACCGAUCAAGUUUUUGGCACCGUUGUCGGGGAUUGCCAAAGUAUAAGUUGAAUAAUAAUUCAAUUGAAAUUUUUUCGCUCAACGACCAAAAUUUUAUUUCUCUGUACUAUUGGUUAUUUUUAUAAAUUCUAAUAAUUGUCUAAUCUGUGCAUGCAAGACGACGAAAAGCUAGACUGGAACAUUUAGAAGCAACCCCCAUUGUUUCUGAGUCUGAAAAAGAAGAAGCUAUUUCAGUUCAUUCGGAACCAAUGGCUGAAGCUCCACCUUCCGUGGAAAUACUUUUGGGUGACUAUGGAGGUGCAAAUGCUCCUACUGGAAGGUUAACAAUUGUGAACCAACCGGUAAAUGUUGAUCAUUUUCAGCUACACCCUUCAACGAUUCGUCAUCUCGAAAGGAGACCGUUCUCCGGAAAAAUCAAUGAAGAUGCCAACAAGCAUUUACAAAGAUUUCUGACCAUGAUGACAUCGUUGAAAAUUGAGGGACACUCAGAGGAAGCUAAAAAGUUGGUGAUGUUUCCGUUUACACUAUCGGAAGAUGCUGAAGAGUGGUGUUACUCUUUACCCGUGGGAAGCAUUACAGCUUGGCAACAAAUGGAGACAACAUUUUUGAAUGAGUACUUCCCUGGUUCUGUGUAUAUCUGUAAGAGAUAUGAUAUUGUUAAUUUCAAAUAGAAGGAAAGAGAGUCACUCAGAGACGCUUACAAGAGGUUCAAGCGAUUGUUGGUUGCAUGUCCUACUCAUAACAUGGAUGCAACUGAAUAGAUGCAAAAUUUUAUGAAUGGCCUUAGAAUGAAGACUAAGUAACUCAUAGACACAGCUGCCGGUGGCUUAACAAAUUUUACAACAACCACUGGAAUAAAGAAAAUCAUUCAAGCCAUUGCAGCAAAUCAGCAUCUGGAGCUCUAUGACCGCAGUGUAAGUCAACCUGAAGGUAUCAUUGAUCUCAAGCUAACAAAUCAAGUUGUGAAGAUGGAAGAUUAAAUAACAGCUGAAGUAGAGAGAAGAAUCAAUAAAAUGGCUCUUGACACUCAAACGGUGGCACAAGUUCAACCGGUUCAACCUAUUUAAACAGUUAGUUGUGAAAUUUGUGGGGGACCGCACUUCGCCAUGCAUUGUGUGGAAACUACACAACAGGUAGAAGAGAUUAAUUUUCUGAAGCAAAAUAACCCUUACUUCAAUACUUAUAAUCCUGGAUGGAAAAAUCAUCCAAAUUUUUCCUGGAAGGACCAACAAGGAAAUGCUCACAAGCAAGUGCCCAGUCAAUAUCAAAGCCAACCGCAACAACAGUAUCGACCACAACAAUAACAACCUUACCAGCAGCAGUUUCACCAAUCCCAACAACAAUUUCAAUAACAGGUUCCAAGAAAAGCAGAUAGGGAAAUUGCCAUUGAAAAAAUGGCGGCUCAAAGUUCACAAUUUCAAGAGGAGACUAGAAGUAAUCUGAGAAACACUGGUGCAUCAAUAAAAAAUCUGGAAGUGCAAAUGAGUCAGAUUGCUCAACAACUCGCGGGUUCUCAAACACUGGGUGCAUUACCGAGUGCUACAAUUAUAAAUCCACGAGAGCAUAAUAAUGUGAGUGUUGUAACCAUAAGAAGUGGUAAAUCAAAAGAAGUCCCUGAGAAAGAUGAUGACCAAGAAGACUAAUUGAUUGAAGUUGAGUUGGAAAUAAAAGAAAAUGAGGUUGUGAGUGAAGAGGUGGUAGUGCCUAAACUGAUGGUUAAAGGAAAAGUUAGUGAACCAAAGUCGGCUGUCAAACUCCCUUUCCCCAUAAGAAAUAAGAAGAAAGAGCAACAUGAGAAGAACUUCGAGAAAUUCUUGGAGAUGUUCAAAAAGCUUGAGAUUAACAUUCCGUUCUUGGAGGCACUUGAACAAAUGCCCUCUUAUGCCAAAUUUAUGAAGGAAAUUAUUUCAAAGAAGAGGAGCGCCGACACUGACCCUAUUGUACUAACCGAAACUUGUAGUGCAAUUUUGCAGGGUAUGAAGAUUCUAGUGAAGAAGAAAGAUCGAGGCUCGGUAACUAUCCCUUGCACUAUCGGGGAUAGGUAUUUAAAAAAGGCCCUUAUAGACUUGGGGGCAAGUGUGAUUCUCAUGUCGUUAUCCAUUUACAAGAGGUUAGGGAUUGGAAAAGUGCAAGAUAGCAAAAUGACACUUCAAUUUGCUGACCACUCUGUGAAGAGACCUUAUGGAGUGGUGGAAGACAUUCUUGUGAAGAUUGAUAAGUUUGUAUUUCCGAUGGACUUUGUCAUCUUAGAAAUGCCGGAAGAUGAAGAGAUACCACUCAUCCUUAGUAGACCAUUUUUGGAGACCGGAAGAUGUUUGAUAGAUAUAGAAGAGGGCACCAUGACUCUAAAAGUUUACGAUGAAGAGUUGAAAAUUGAUUUGCGUAACACCAUGAGAUACAAAGAUGAUGUGGCCACCAGUCAACACAUAGAGGUGAUUGAUCAAAUGGUUCUGCAAGAAAAUCCUUUAGGUGAACCACAAUUGCCCUUGGAGAGAGUUCUAAGUCUAUCAAUUUCUGAAGACAGAUGUGGCCACCAGUCAACACAUAGAGGUGAUUGAUCAAAUGGUUCUGCAAGAAAAUCCUUUAGGUGAACCACAAUUGCCCUUGGAGAGAGUUCUAAGUCUAUCAAUUUCUGAAGACACUCAAGAAGUUGACUAAAAGGAGAGGGAAGUGUUAACUAUGAUGGCAACACAACCACCCUUUAAGGGAUCCCGAUCACUCCGAUGGGAAAACUUGAGGGAACCCCAGUUUGAGGAAAAGAAAGAUGAGACCAAGAAAGUGGAUGAGCUGAAACAAUUGCCGAAAAAUCUCAAGUAUAUUUUUCUAGAUUCUGAAAGGAGAUGCCCGACUAUUAUAAGCUCUAAUCUAAAAGUUUCCCAAGAAGACAAGCUCGUCAAGGUUCUGAAGAAGCAAAAAAGUGAAAUGGGAUGGGCGAUAGAAGACUUGAAGGGGAUUAGCCCUACGGUAUGUAUGCAUAAAAGUCUCAUGGAGGAUGGUCACAAACCAGUGGUGCAACCCCAAAGAAGACUAAAUCCCGCAAUGAAGGAAGUGGUUAGGAAAGAGGUUGUUAAACUAUUAGAUGUUGGGUUAAUUUAUCCCAUAUCGAUAGCUCUUGGUGAGUCAUGUUCAUUGUGGGUUCCGAAGAAAGGAGGGACUACCGUUAUAAAGAAUGAGAAAAAUGAGUUACUCCCUACAAGGACGGUCACGAGGUGGCGUGUUUGCAUCGAUUACAGAAGGUUGAAUUUGGCGACAAGAAAGGAUCACUUUCCUUUACCAUUCAUCGAUCAGAUGUUGGAAAGGUUGGCUGGUCAUGAGUACUAUUGUUCCUUGAUGGAUACUCUGGAUAUAAUCAGAUAGCGGUUGCACCAGAAGAUCAAGAGAAGACAGCUUUUACUUGCCCUAUGGUAUUUUUGCUUACAGAAUAAUUCCAUUCAGGUUUACGUAAUGCACCCGGCCACAUUUCAAAGAUGCAUGACUUCCAUUUUUUGGACAUGCUCGAAAAGCAUAUGGAGGUUCUUCAAUGGAUGACUUCUCGGUAUUUGGUUUCUCUUUUGAUAAUUGUUUAACUAACCUUUCCCUUGUGUUAGAAAGAUGCCAACAGACCAACUUGAUUCUCAACUGGGAGAAGUUCCACUUCAUGGUGUGAGAAGGCAUAGUCUUGGGUCAUGAAAUUUCUCACAAAGGAAUAGAAGUGGACCAAGCCAAGAUCGAGGUAAUAGAAAAGCUACCCCCUCCAAUGAACGAAAAAGGUAUAAGAAGUUUCUUAGGGCAUGCGGGUUUCUACCGUAGGUUCAUAAGAGACUUUUCUAAGAUAGCUAAACCUUUAACUACCCUGUUGGUUAAGGACAAGGCUUUCAUCUUUGAUAAAGAGUGUGUCAUUGCUUUUGAAACUAUAAAAAAUAAAUUGGUGACGGCACCUAUUGUCAUUGCCCCAGAUUGGUCUCUACCUUUUGAGAUCAUGUGUGAUGCGAGUGACAUUGCAGUGGGAGAAGUUCUUGGGCAACAUAGAGAUAAACUGUUGCAUGUCAUAUAUUAUGCUAGUCAUGAUACCUUUUGAGAUCAUGUGUGAUGCGAGUGACAUUGCAGUGGGAGAAGUUCUUGGGCAACAUAGAGAUAAACUGUUGCAUGUCAUAUAUUAUGCUAGUCAUGUUUUGAACCCUGCACAGAUGAACUAUGCGACUACCGAGAAGGAGUUGCUAGCGGUGGUCUAUGCCUUUGAUAAAUUCAGGCAAUAUCUGUUGGGUUCUAGAGUCAUUUUUUAUACUGACCAUGCUGCUUUGAAGUAUUUAUUUUCUAAGCAUGACUCUAAGCCAAGACUGUUGAGAUGGAUCUUACUCCUCCAAGAGUUUGAUUUGGAAAUUCGUGACAAAAGAGGGUGUGAAAAUACUGUGGCAGAUCACCUCUCUCGGAUGUCCCCUAUAGAGGAGAAUGAGGAAAAGCGUCUGAUAAAGGAUGAGUUUGCUGACGAACACAUCCUUGCUGUUAUUGGAAUGCCAUGGUUCACAGACUACGCGAACUAUCUAGUAGGUGGGGUGAUCCCUAGCGAAUUUGACUCUAACAAAAAGAAAAAGUUUGUGCAUGAUUGCAGGUUUUACUUGUGGGAUGACCCAUUCUUGUACAAGAAGCGAAUUUGACUCUAACAAAAAGAAAAAGUUUGUGCAUGAUUGCAGGUUUUACUUGUGGGAUGACCCAUUCUUGUACAAGAAAGGAGUAGAUGGGUUGGUCAGAAGAUGUGUUCCCGAAGAAGAACAAAGAGAUGUCCUGAAAGUAUGCCAUGACUCUGACUAUGGUGGACACUUUAGUGGUGAUAGAACCGCAGCCAAAGUCCUCCAGUCAGGCUUCUACUGGCCUACACUUUUCAAAGAUGCUCAACAAUUAAUCAAAGAGUGCGAUAAGUAUCAAAGGAUGGGAAACAUCUCGAAAAGAAAUCAGAUACCGCAGAACCCCAUGUUGGAAGUUGAACUCUUCGAUGUUUGGGGUAUCGACUUUAUGGGACCAUUUCCACCUUCAUUUGGAAAGAAUUACAUUUUGGGGGCGGUGGAUUAUGUAUCCAAGUGGGUAGAAGCAGUCGCUCUACCAACGAAUGAUGCAAAAGUGGUAGUCAAGUUUCUAAAGGAAAAUAUAUUUGUCAGGUCUGGAGUGCCAAGAGCUCUAAUAAGUGAUAAAGGAACUCAUUUCUUAAAUCACCUAAUGGAGAAGCUACUCUUGAAGUAUAAUGUAAAACAUCGUAUAGCCACUCCGUACCAUCCGCAAACAAGUGGUCAAGUUGAAGUGUCGAAUAGACAGCUGAAACAAAUUCUGGAGAAGACGGUCAACUCAUCUCGCAAAGAUUGGGCAAGUAAGCUUGAUGAUGCGCUUUGGGCAUACCGAACUGCUUUCAAAACACUGAUUGGUAUGUCCCCUUAUCAAUUGGUAUAUGGUAAGGCAUGUCACUUACCCUUAGAACUUGAACACAAAGCUUUGUGGGAUUCAAAAUUCCUUAAUUUCGAUCUUUCGAAAGUGGGAUAAUCUCGAAUACUUCAACUCCAUGAGUUAGAAGAAUUUAGGAACCGAGCAUAUGAAAAUGCCAAGAUCUACAAAGAUCAAACAAAGAAGUGGCAUGAUAGAAGGAUCCAAAGGAAGGAAUUUUGGAAAGGACAAAUGGUACUAUUGUUUAAUUCGAGGAUGAAGUUGUUCUCGGGAAAACUGAGAUCGAAAUGGUCGGGUCCGUUUAUGGUACACAAGGUAUAUCCUCAUGGAGCAAUCGAACUAAAAAAUCCUUCCAAUGGGGACAUUUUUAAAGUGAAUGGCCAAAGAUUGAAGCCUUACAAUGUGGAGCACGAAGUUGGUCAAAUUGAUGUUGUUCAUCUUGUCUGAUAAGAUGAACAACCGUCGAGCCAUGCGACGUUAAACGAAGCGCUACGUGGGAGGCAACCCACGCUUUUGUGUCUAAUUACUUUCUUUGUUUUGUUGUGUGUUAUUGAAUUGCAGGUUAGAACAAUGUUUGCUAGAGGAGCCAAAAGUUCGUGUGCCAAAAGUCUCUGGAAAAAUUGGAAGCAGAAGCCUGACACAAUCACGAGAAAACAGUGAAGGAAAAAGAAAAAUCGGGGGCCUGACACGGGUGCCCGUGUCAGCAUGUGAUUAGAGAAAGGUGGUUUCCAGGGGCUUGACACGGGUGGCCGUGUCAGCCCCUGAGUGAACAAGUUGGAAAGAGGAAGGACACGACCGGUGUCAUGGAGGUCCUUAGCGCGGACACGGCCUCCCGUGUCAGCAAGCGUGUUGGGAAAAUUUUCAAAAAUUUUGACCGUUGGCAAUUGGGCCCACCACCGAAUUUCCCCCGCUAAAUCCAUUUUAUCACCCAUUCACUCCUCAUUAACCUCUUCUCUUACCUAUUCUCUCACCUUCAUCUCUCUUUCUCUCAAAAAUACCUAAAAACCUCCAUUUUUCUUCACAUAAAGCUCCAUCCUUUCACCUCAUAACUCCAUCAAAUCUCCAUCCGUCAAAAAAUACCUAAAAACCUCCAUUUUUCUUCACAUAAAGCUCCAUCCUUUCACCUCAUAACUCCAUCAAAUCUCCAUCCGUCUUCACAAAAGUUCUUCCAUUUUCCAUCCUCUACCUUCCUACGGUAACAUUUUUGCCUAAUCUCUCUUUUCAAUUUCAAGUUUCUUUUUGUUGUGUGCAGGUAAGAACAUCUCUCGGCGAGUAGACAUAAGCAAAAAUGUGGCGGAAUCAUCCUGGCCACGUCAAAGGGCGAGAAGGACUCUGAAUGAGCACGACAUUAUGUUUGAAAACUUGGAGCACCAAAAGAGGUAUACGGUUCAUCUUAAAAGAAAAUUAACCCCCACCAGAUACAUGUGUAAUGGCACUUUGCAGGAACUGGGAUUGCAAGCGGAAGUUCACCAAAUGUUCCACACCUUAGGUAUGUUGGAAUUCAUGCAGUUAGAAGCGCCAACUUUUGUGCGCAUUACUCUUGAAUUCUUGAGUACCAUUGAAUUUAAGCUGAAAAAUCGGUGGAAUGGAACGGAGAAAGAGUACUACGGUACUCUGCAUUUUCGUUUAUUUAAUACUUAUAUGGAAUUGUAUGUGGAUGAGUUAGGGAGUAUCCUAAAACUCCCAAUCAUAGGCCCUUGAAUGGUGCCCGAUACUUUUGUUCUGGCGGAAUUCUGGACCGCUAUAACAGGUAACACUAAGUAUGUCUCCAAAGAGGCAAAAGCAUCGGGUAUCCAUAACCCUUGUUUCAGGUACGCGCAGAAGGCUUUGGCAUACACCAUGUUUGUUCGCGGUGAUAGCAUCGGUGUCACCACCCAAAGGGAGUUGUUCUUUCUAUACAGUAUGGCAGCACAAACUCCUAUCAACGUAGCAGCAUUUGCAACUGACUACCUAGGUAGCGUUGGUCGCGCUACUUCAGGCGACAUUUCGGUUGGCGGAAUGAUCACACAGAUUGCCGACCAUUUUGGAUUUGGUGUUGCGCUUGCUGACUCUCCACAGGUGCUGGGUAAAAAUAAACUGGACAUGGCCGCGUUGAUUCAACAAGGCAUGAUUGAGGUGACACAAGAUUACUAUUCUCUUAUCUGCCAAAAAUUCCAUGUUCUUGCUUUACCCGCUUAUGAUUUCAUCAGUAUUACUAACAAAGCCAACUGGCUUUAUGAGUGUCCUGACCUGGAUGAGGGGGACGGAGAUUUUCUUGAUUCUUUGCCUGCAUAUGAACAUAUGGAGGGUGCACCGAGCACGGAGGAGUCGUUUACCAACAACCACUGGAAUCGACUCAAGCUUCAAGGUCCUACUCCAUGCCACAAGACCAAUGGGGUUGGAUUCAAGAUGAGAUCGGUCACCUUCGCACGGAGCAAUCUAGGCAAGGUGAGGAGCUCACCAGGUUCGGAGUCGAACAACUCCGCCAAGGGACGGUUUUGGAUGAGAUGAAUGCGAUGAUGCAAUGCAUGAUGUUGCAUUAUCCGUACUCGCCCCCACCUCCUCAUUAAAAAUUGUGAGUACCCCUCUUAUCUUAAUAAUAAACAUUGCGGACAAUGUUUGGUUCAAGUGUGUGUGUGGGGGAGGGGUAUUGUUUUGUAUUUUAUUUUAGUUGUGUUUGUUUGCUUUGUUACUUUGUUUUGUCUUUGUGUGUCUGUUUUAUUUCCUUAAGUUAUAGAUAAAAGUGGAUUCUACUAGAUAAAUGAUGGACUAGUGACCAGUGAGGGAAAGAUGCAACCCCGGAUUUGCUCCCGAGGCAACUUGGAAGUUGAUACAACUGAGAAAGAAAAUGUUGGACGUAACUUGGAAACUCUAGACCGAAAGAGGGGAGGGUAAACCCAAGCUGAAAAGGAAGUUGUUUGUCAUAAAGAGUGGUUUGGAGCCUGCAAGCUUAUCCAACAUGGUGAGAUUUCAACAUAACCAAACACAAAAGAGCGCAUUCAGGUAUGACUUUAUCUCUCUAAUUUUGCGUAAGUUCAGCCUGCAAGCUUAUCCAACAUGGUGAGAUUUCAACAUAACCAAACACAAAAGAGCGCAUUCAGGUAUGACUUUAUCUCUCUAAUUUUGCGUAAGUUCUACUGAUACAGCACAAUACAAAGACGCACAAUGAGGCGCGUUGUUUAUUUUCACCCUUUAGCCUUUCUAGCAAUCCAUAUUGUUAUAUUUAUCCUUUGUUAAACCUGUUGAGCAUGUACCCCGUUGUUUGUGAAAACCGUCAUGUUAACCUAAGCCAAACACUUCCUACCUUCACUCGGCAUGACUGUUGUAGUGUAAAAUUCGUGCAAAAAGAUAAGUUUGGGGUGGUGAUCCUUAGAAAAAGUUGAAAAAGGGAAAGUGCAACAAAAAGAAGAAAAAAAGUGUGUAGAAACAUCCGCUUCUACCGAAAAAAAAAGAGAAAAGAAAUGAAAAAUAGAAGUGAAGUAUAAGCACUUGCCUAAUUCAAAGACUCAUGAAUUAAUGUGAUACUCAAAAGAAAAAUUGAGUGGAAAAGAGUCAAGUUGGACAAAACCCCAUAAACUAAUUUGUGCACAAAGAAAAGAAACAACAUGAAUGCCGAGUUCUAAACCUUUGUCAUCCAUUUUCUUGUCUACCCCCACCGUACCUAAGCCCCGUUACAACCCGAAAGACCUCUCAAAGUGUGUGAAUUUGGUUUGUGUAGUUAACGUAGAAUCUAUUCAAAAAAUAAGAGUUGAUAUUGCAUACCUUGAUAUCAUGAGUGCUAAACACUUUAACCCCGAGAUAUUUGGUGAGUGGUGUGAAGAAGUUUGCAGGUGAAGGAACACUCUGAUACGAUAAUACAGUGGAUAGUUCGAAUGGGUGAACCAGAAGCUUAAUCGGGAAGGAGGAAGAUAAGUUGUGAAUACCAUCAGCCGUAUUAUGGAAAGAAGAAAAUCCAUGGUUGACCUCUGUGUUGUCUCUUACAUCACUUGAGGACAAGCAAUGAGAUAAGUUUGGGGUUGUGAUCGGUCACCAUUUGCACUUAGUUUUCAUCAUCCAUACAACAUUAAUCUUCAAGAAUCAGUAACAAUUUGUUCUUUCUUUUAGUUGAUUUCUUAAGUUUAUCGCAUUUUAUAAAUUUCUGCUUGUUUUAUGUAUUAGUAGUUCAUCUUUUUUUAUCGCAUUUUAUGCAUUUCCGUGAUAGUGUUGUUUGGUUUACAGGUCUAACAAUAAGCCCGAAAGAUGCGUAGCGGAAGAAUGGAAGUCAAGGACAUCGUGCAAAGCGAGAAAAGGCAAAAAUAGGGGGCUGACACGGGUGUCCGUGUCAGCUGACACGACCCGUGUCAGCAUGUGCAAAAUACAGAUUAUGGAAUCCAGAAACCAGGGGGCUGACACGGGUGCCCGUGUCAGCUGACACGGGUGCCCGUGUCAGCUGACACGGCCCAUGUCAGCAAGGGCAGAAGAAUUUGAGUUGACAGAGAGCCAACACGGGCGCCCGAUGUCAGCUGACACGGGUGCCCGUGUCAGCUGACACGGCCCAUGUCAGCAAGGGCAGAAGAAUUUGAGUUGACAGAGAGCCAACACGGGCGCCCGUGUCACCUGACACGACCCGUGUUGGCCAAUUUGCCCCGUUUGCUGAUUUUUAUUGUUUUGAUCCCCGUGUACGUCCGGAGGGCAGUCUGGGUAUUUCACGAUGUUUUUAGUUGAUUGGAAACUAUUUAGUCUGCAUUUUGGUGAAGAGAGAGGACACUUUUGAUCGUACAAGAAAAAGACAGAAAGGAGAAGCGAGCUUUCAAGGUGUUUAGAGAAGAAGAUAUCUUCAAGAUCGGAAGAGAUUGAAGAUCAACCUUCAUCAAUAACAAAUUGUAAUGUCUCUAUUUUGUAAUUUACUGUCUUUGAAUAUUAUGAGAAGCUAAACCCCCAAAUGCUAGGGGGUGUCCCUGAAUUGCUAUUGUAUGAACACUUUUUCUAUGUUUUUAUGAUCAUCGAUGUUUUCUUAAUUCAAAUUAUUAUACAACGUUCAUAAUGCUUUAUUUUAUCGGACAAAUGGAAUUUUGAUCUCUGGUUAAGGUUUAGGUCGAACAAACCACCUUAUCGCUUGUUGUGUAAUAAUACUUCGGUUUAAUCACUUAGGAAUAAGGAUCAAACCGUAGUAGCCAUUAAUUCUUGCUUAAUUGCAUAUUUCGUAACGUCAUUUUGAAUAACUAAGGAAUUAGGAUUGAAAUUGACUGUUAAUGGUUUUUGGCUAAGGGAUUAGUGAAAACAAUUCUUGAGAAUCGGGUUUGAAUAAUUACAAUGUAGAUGUUAUAUAAUAUGGAAGGAGUGUAGUACAAAGCAAUUCACACAUCUUGCCUUAGCAUGCUUUCUCAUAUCGUUUAACAGCUUUUUAUACGCUUUAUAUAAUUUAUUCUCGUUCUUCUCGUUUUGAAAACAAUCAUCAAACCCCCUAUGAUCUUUUGUUCAAUGUAAUUAUUGUAAAGAUUUGUACUUAUUACGCAGUCCUCGAGAUCGAUACUCGGGAUAACUCUCAUUUCAUUACUACAUUGGUGCAAAUAGUACACUUGCUAUUUUACCGAUCACCAACCCUCAGUUGAGUCAUUGUUUUCCUCUGAGAGAGUCCCUACCCUAUUAUCGGGCGUUUCCCAUUAAGUUACAUCUUUCAACCUUUUGUUGAUAAGACGUUAUCCUUAGCUAAGCCAAACAUUGUUUCUUUAAACACUUACCUUGUUUCGCGUUGAGUAUCCCUCAAUGAGUCGUUUCCUGUAACCUUUUGUUGAUGGAAGCCUCAUCUUCCAAUAGAAUAUUAGUUCUGCAACCUUUUGUUGGUUAUACCCCGAGCAAGUCUUACCCAGUAAUGUUCCAAUACUACCCAACAAGUCGGGUUUAUUGAAUGUUGACAAUAGCCUUAUUUUUCCAAAUAUUUUUCCCACUAUCAUCCUUUUGAUGAAAGUCCAUUGAGGAAUAAUACUAAUCAUCACCCUGUUUACGAUAACCGUUAUCCUUUUGGUAAUGGUAAAUCCUUGACAUUCGUGAUCUUACCGUCAUCCUUUUGGUGUCGGCGAUCCUUGAAGUUUUGUCCCAACCUUCAUCCUUUUGGUGAAUGGCGACCUCUGCAACUAUUAUAGCCCACCGUCAUCCUUUUAGUGUCGGUAAUCCUUGUCAUUUUGGUUCAACCAUCAUCUUUUUGGUGAUGACGUCCAGUUCAAUCUAAAUAUUAUCCUUUUUGUGAUAGAGAUUAUGGAGUCUGGUUUAGGCUAUCGUCCUUUUGGUGAUUGUGACCUAGGGAAAGUCCAAUCCCACUGUCAUCCUUUUGGUGUCAGCAAUAUUUGAAGUUAUUAUAACUUACUAUCAUCCUUUUGGUGGUAACAAGUUCCGAAGUUAUGACCUCACCUUCAUCCUUUUGGUGAUGGUGAUUGUUGAUUCAUUAUCAUCCUUUUGGUGAUAACGAGUCCUGUUGUUUGUAGUACCUUCAUCCUUUUGGUGAUGGUGACCAUCGACUUAUUAUCAUCCUUUUGGUGAUAACAAGUUUUGUUGUUCAAUCCUACCUUCAUCCUUUUGGUAACGGUGAUCAGUAAAAGUUAUUGACUUAUUAUCAUCCUUUGAUGGUAAAGAGUUUUGUUGUUUAAUCUUACCUUCAUCCUUUUGGUGAUGGUGAUUGUUUUGACUUAUUAUCAUCCUUUUGGCGAUAACAAGUUUUGAAGUUUUGUUCUUACCUUUAUCCUUUUGGUGAUGGUUAUCAUUUAAGUUGUCGUGACUUAUUAUCAUCCUUUUGGUGGUAACAAGUUUUGUUGUUUGAUAAUACCUUCAUCCUUUGGUGAUGGUGAUUGUCAUGACUUAUUAUCAUCCUUUUGGUGGUAACUAGUUCUGUUACUAAUCUUACUGUCAUCCUUUUGGUGUCAGUGAUAUUCGAAGUUAUAUUGAUUUAUUAUCAUCCUUUUGGUGGUAACAAGUUUUGUCUUGAUUUUACUUUCAUCCUUUUGGUGAUGGUAAUCAUUUAAAUUGUUGUAAUUUAUUAUCAUCCUUUUGGUGAUAACGAGUUUUGUUGUUUGUAGUACCUUCAUCCUUUUGGUGAUGGUGACUGUCGACUUAUUAUCAUCCUUUUGGUGAUAACAAGUUUUGAAAUUUUGUUCUUACCUUCAUCCUUUUGGUGACGGUGGUCAUUUAAGUUAUUAUGACUUAUUAUCAUCCUUUUGGUGAUAACGAGUUUUGUUAUUGGUUCCACCUUCAUCCUUUUGGUGAUGGUGAUUGUUGACUUAUUAUCAUCCUUUUGAAGAUAACAAGUUUUGUUUGGGUCUUACCCUCAUCCUUUUGGUGAUGGUGAUCAUUGAAGUUAUUUGACUUAUUAUCAUCCUUUUGGUGAUAACAAGUUUUGUUGUGGGAUCUUACCUUCAUCCUUUUGGUGACGGUGAUCUUUGAAGUUGAUGAGUACCUUUUGGUGAUGGUGAUCAUUGAAGUUAUUUGACUUAUUAUCAUCCUUUUGGUGAUAACAAGUUUUGUUGUGGGAUCUUACCUUCAUCCUUUUGGUGACGGUGAUCUUUGAAGUUGAUGAGUUAACCAUCAUCCUUUUGGUGGUAGCCUUGAUAUUAUACUUUUGGGAAUGGAAAGCUUUAUCAGAAUGUCAUCAUCCUUUUGAUGAUGGACGUCAUCCUUUUGGUGAUAAAAAUCUUUGAAUUUUAUUAUGUCAGACUUUCAUCCUUUUUGGUGACAGCAAGUUUGGUUAUUAAUCUUACCAUCAUCCUUCUGAUGAUGACUACCUCUAAAGCUUGGUUUAUCCAUCACCCUUUUAGUGAUGACAAUUAAUUCUACUGUCAUCCUUUUGGUGCCAGAAAACUCGUUCAGUUUUCGCUCUCACAUCAGAAACGACCUUUGCAAGAUUUAAAUGUCGACUCGAGGGUUGGCAUUGAUUUGACGUUCUACCCCAAUACCUUGGUGCUAUUAGAACUCGUUGCAUUUUCUCUCUGCAUUUCUCCAUUGCAUCUCAAAGGACAAAAUUCGGGUCUUUUCGUAUUUAAUUACCUUCCACCACGAACGUAUGAAGACUGUCGUCAUUCUUACCUUCUAGUUCAAGUUAAUUAAAUAGGGGCAACUGUCAUACCCCAAUUUUAUCCGGGCAUUUUUAAAUAUCAGUCAGAAUAGAAUAUUGAAAAUACAGACAAAUUGGUUAAAUCGUUUCUCAAGUACGUGCAAAAUCAGCGGGUAAAAAGUUUCAAAAUUAAAAUUACAGACGCCAGUAUCAUUAACCUAUGGUUCACGUAGUUUAACCUGGUGUGCUCGUUGUAUUUUUCAGGGACUGUUUCGGCUGCGUUUUGACCCGCCUAAGCCUUUUAACCGGUGAAAAUUUAUUUUAGAAUUUGAAGAAACGCUGUAUUUUUUCAAUAAGUGUAUUCUGUGCUGAUCAUUUUGGUGCACCCGAUUUAAUUUUUCGAGCAAAUUUUCGCCCGACUUUUUUGCAUAAUCAAUCAUUUUAUUUUUAUCCUUUCGCCAAAACAUUCAGAAAAUUGAAAUUUCCAUGUCUUCAUUUUAUUUUUACCAUAUUCAUUUUAGAAGUUGUGGAUUUUUAUUUGAUUUCAUUGAUCUAAAUUGUUUUAAGUCAAUUGAACCAUCUAGAAGGGGCACCUUUGAUAUUCUUAGAAUUAGUUAGCAUUUGUGUUUCUUUGGUUUAAUCUCGAUCGUUAAAUCGAGACUAAUCAAAGGUCUAUAAUAGUUAUCCAUGUGUGUUUCUAUUUACCAAUAAUAAAAUCAAAUAAUAUUAAUAUUAAUAAUAAAGAGAAAAAAUCCAUUUAUGGUUGUGUAAAUAAGGAUAGGUGGCUCUUUUUUCUCAAAUUUAGAAAAAAGAGAAAUGCUGAAAAUACUACCCUUUAGGAUUUUUUUCGGUGGCCUCUCGGAUCACUCUCAAACAAAAUUCAUAACAACUCAUUAUUGGCCAGGAGAAAAUGAGUUGUCUCCACUCAUAGCUGGAAAAGGAAUCCACUCUCUUUCUCUCUCUCAAAAGAGAACUCUGAAAAGAAAGAAAAAAAGAAUAGAUAUAUCUCAACGAGUACACAAAAGGAAAAAAAAAUCUCAUUCUGAAAAAAGACGUUACAUCCAUUUAAAUUUCUCUCUCUCACCACUCAUAAAAGAACUACCCAUUCACCUAACUUUCGGACUCUCUCUCACGGGUUCCUCACGUUACAAAAAGAUAAAAGGAAAAAAGAAAUUCAAAAAGGACUGACAAAAAACUCUCUCACCUGAUACCAUUCCUUCUCUCUCAUAAUAACCCUCUCUCUCUCUGACUUCCAAAAGGCAACCAAAAAAGAAAAAAGAAAUUGAGAGGAAUCUUCCUCUUCUUCGGAAUCUCAUCACUCUUCACCACCGGACCGCCUUCAACAACCUCCGUCGUCGAAAACCUCACAGCCAUAACUGCGCCCCCCUUCACCCUCCUUCAAACUCUCCGCUGGCGAAAAACAGAAACACCGCGAUCCUCUUUUUCAACACCGUCCAAACCCUUCGUCUUCGUCACAACCACACACCGCCAUCUCCACCGUCCAAAUCCCAUCUCCGUCUUCACUCAACUCACAACCGCAACCAACCAACAACACCGUGAAACCGUUUUUACGAAACGAAACUCAAUGAAUCUCCUUCCUCACGAAAUCACCGCCGCCACCUUCGACAUCUUACUGCCAUCCACAAUAAACCCUCACAACCGCCUCCGUUCCCCUCCCACACUUCCUUCGUGGCCACCGCAAAAGCCACCACGCGUCUUCUCCUUCACAUUCACGGACGUCUUCUCCUUCCGAUGUCGGAUUCAAACGCAACCAACCAGCCGCUCUACAACAAUAAGAGGAGCAUAGCACCAAAGGAAAUAAUGUAGAAGGAUGGGUCUAGCCGCACUCCGUUUCCAUUAUAAUUUCAAGUUCAUUUCUGACGAACUCACAGUCCUUCCAAUCACCACAAGGUCGUCGAACCCAUACGUAUAUCACUGUAAAUCUCAUGUUGAUUGGUUUAUUAUUGCUUUUGUUUUUUCCAAUUGGAGUAAGGUAGAGAUUAAAUCGAGGAUGCAAGGGUUUGUUUCAUCGGUCUUAAAGAUGAAAAAUAAUGUUCUGCAUUUUUAAAGAACGAAAGAAAGCAUAGUGGAAAUUUCUAACUUAUUAUGAGCCUUGAUUUUCCUAAUGGUAAUGUAAAAGUUAAACUGGAUUUUUACGUUUUGUUACUUGUUUGUUUGACUGAACUUUUUUUUAAUUAUUAUUACAUGACAAUAGAAUUAGUAUUUUGGUUGUAGAAAGAGUUGUCUGCAUAUAAUUCAUUAUGGGCUUGGUUUUCUUUUUAUCCAGGAAAAUUUUAGAUUGGAUCGAUAAUGCUUAAUAGUGUACAUUGAAUUCUUUCUUAAAUCACGUUUGGAAGGGUCCUGCAACUCUUUUUGUUUAUUUCAAACUUGGACAUCAUUGGUUUUAAAUGGUACUUUGUUUUAAUUAAUUGUAUUAGUAUCCCUUGUUCUAACUAAUUUAUUAGUUCACAACGUUACAACCAUUUUUCUCAAAUACAUGGUUGGUUCUACUAUUAAAAUUUAAAUUAGAUUAUUAAUUGCCUAAUGGAUUUUAUAGUGUAUAUGUAUAAAUCUGCUCCAAUCAUAUGGCGUUGUUGUUAACAUUCAGUUAAUAUGUUGUGUAUAACCUUGGGUGGUUUCUAUGUGAUUUCAAUUCCAUUAUGAUGAAGUUUGAAAUUCUAGUUAUCAGACUUUAGAUGUCACACGGGUUGUUAUGACAUCCAAUUCUGCACAGACAAGAAUUAUGCAGAACUUAAAAGUAAGUGCAGUAAAUAACACAAGUAAUUGUUUACCCAGUUGAGUCCAACAUGACCUACAUCUNCAUUCCACCAAAGACUAUAUCAUCCACAUAGAUUUGAGCUAUCAUGAUUUUGCCUUCUUCAUCCUUCACAAACAAGGUUUUAUCUAUUCCACCUUUUCUGUAUCCAUUUGAGGUCAGAAAUUCGGUCGACCUUUCAUACCAUGCUCUAGGUGCUUGUUUCAACCCAUACAAGGCUUUUCUCAACUUGUACACAUGCUUGGGUUGGUUGGGAUCACUGAACCCUUUGGGUUGUUCCGCAUAGACUUCUUCAUUCAAGUAGCCAUUCAAGAAUGCGCUCUUCACAUCCAUUUAGAGCAGUUUAAACUUCAGAAUGCAUGCUACACCUAACAGCAAUCUGAUGGACUCAAGUCUAGCCACAGGAGCAAACGUUUCAUCAAAAUCAACCCCUUCCACUUGAGUGUAACCUUGAGCUACUAAUCUUGCUUUAUUCCUAGUAAUUACUCCUUUCUCAUCAGACUUGUUCUUGUAGAUCCACUUGGUACCAAUGAUGUUGGUCCCUUCAGGUCUAGGAACUAGCUCCCAAACUUCAUUCCGUUUGAACUGUAUCAUAUGCUGAGUCUGUUUUUCCAGAAAACAGACUGUACAAUUUUGCUGACCUGUAUAUGACCAAAAUGACCAUACUACAGUAACAGCUUACAUUAAUAAAUGUCAAAGUAUCCAAUUUGACAUUUAUACAUUUGGCCUUAAGUUAGUUCUGUUAUCCUCUUGAAGAACAGACUAAGAAACAUACUGAAGUGUAGCAGAACACUACUCUGUCUAUUGUUCAGUAUAUGCUGUCAAUGAUGAAUGUCAUAACAUCCCGUUUGACAUUCAGUCAGUAGGCCUUAUGCCAGGUCUGGUAUUACCUUGAUAACCAGACUGGAAAUAAAUACUAAGUUCCAACAGAACACCAGCUAUUCUAUUCCUUAGUAUUUGCUGACAGGUAUGAAUGUCACAGCAUCUAGUUUGACAUUCAAUAAAUCCUGUAUUAGCUAAUCCUGCAGUAACUACUCAAGUGUGUCAUGACAUCAGUCAAGACAUCAGAGUACAGUUAGUUAUUCCAACCUACAAUGCAGUCACACAUACACACCAUGUCAUGACAUUAGUCAAGACAUUAGUAACCAGCUAGUGUUUUACCAUAUAAUGCAGCCAAUUAAACACCUACAAACUCCCCCUUUGGCAAAUUUUUGGCUAAAACACUUUGAUCCCCAUAACAGAGUUAAUAGCAGCGGAAUCACACAUCUAGUAGGAAAUAGACCUAGCUAAUACACUCAGAGUGGCAGCAUACUCACACACAUGGAAGUUAAAUAAAAACUUCUACUUGCAGCACACAUACAGAAGUUAAACCCAAACUUCAACACACAACAGCUGUAGGGGAGGGAAUCUUCGAAUCUGUCAAGAGAGUCUGUUGUAGAGACCCACUCUGUUUGUCAGGGGUGGUGGUGGUUAUUACUCCCCCUUUUUGUCAAAAAUGUUGCCAAAGCCAACAACAUAACCAGAGAACAAUGACAGAGUUACAGACUUGGUUUUACUUCACAGUUUCAACCAAGUUAGCAUCCACUUAAUCUUGCUUCACAGCUUUGAUCAAGUAAUCACCCACUUUUGCUUUACAGUAGGUACCACCAUAUCAGAUGCCAUGACUUUGUUUCUGACAUCCAGAACCACUCCUGCAUGAACAGCAUCCUUGAACUCCUGCAGGUACAGUGGCCUUCUCUCUGUAGGGUGUCUCCUUACCCUCUUGUAUCCACCCUUGUUGCAAGCAGCAUAGCUAUGAUCUGUUGACCAAUCAUAGCCUAGUACAAAUUGUUUAAUAGGCAGAGAUAUUAAACAAUUUAUCCCAAACAUCAGUGGUUGCUAUAAGGUCUCAGAGAGACAUAUUCCCAGUUUGCUCCUUAAGUUUUCAAACUGAGUAGCAUCCAGAGCCUUUGUAAAUAUGUCAGCCAGUUGAAGAUCCGUGGCUACAUGUUCCAAAGUGAUCACCUUGUCUUCCACCAGAUCUCUGAUGAAGUGGUGCCUAAUGUCAAUAUGUUUGGUCCUGCUGUGUUGGAUGGGAUUCUUGGAGAUGUUGAUGGCACUGAGAUUAUCACAGAACAAUGUCAUGACAUUUUGAGUGACAUUGUACUCAGUGAGCAUUUGUUUCAUCCAAACCAGUUGGGAGCAACUGCUUCCAGCAGCUAUGUAUUCAGCCUCUGCAGUGGACAGAGAGACACAGUUCUGCUUCUUGCUGAACCACGAUAUGAGGUUUUCUCCUAAGAAGAAACAUCCACCUGAUGUGCUUUUUCUGUCAUCAGCACUUCCAGCCCAAUCAGCAUCACAGUACCCAGAUAGGACAGGCUCAGACCCAUGUGAAUACAGCAUCCCAUAGUCACACGUCCCAUUGAUGUACUUGAGAAUCCUUUUGACUUGAUUCAAGUGGCUCACCUUGGGCUCUGCUUGGUAUCUGGCACACACUCCAACUGCAUAGGAAAUGUCAGGUCUACUUGCAGUUAGAUACAGCAGACUACCUAUCAUGCUUCUGUACAGGCAUUGAUCAACACUAGGCCCUCCAUCAUCUUUGGUUAACUUCAGAUGAGUAGGAGCAGGAGUCCUCUUGUGCCUGGCAUGAUCCAUACCAAACUUCUUAACUAUGUUCUUGGCAUACUUGCUUUGGGAGAGAAACAUAGAGUCCUCCAUUUGGUUUACUUGCAUUCCAAGGAAAUAGGUCAGUUCUCCCACUAGACUCAUUUCAAACUCAGACUGCAUCUGGUGAACAAAUUUUUUAACCAUUUGUUCUGACAUUCCACCAAAGACUAUAUCAUCAACAUAGAUUUGAGCUAUCAUGAUUUUGCCUUCUUCAUCCUUCACAAACAAGGUUUUAUCUAUGCCACCCUUUCUGUAUCCAUUUGAGGUCAGAAAUUCGGUUAACCUUUCAUACCAAGCUCUGGGUGCUUGCUUCAACCCAUACAAGGCUUUCUUCAACUUGUAUACAUGCUCAGGUUGGUUAGGAUCACAAAACCCUUUGGGUUGUUCCACAUAGACUUCUUCAUUCAGGUAGCCAUUCAAGAAUGCACUCUUCACAUCCAUUUGGAAUAGCUUAAACUUCAGGAUGCAUGCUACCCCCAACAGCAAUCUGAUGGACUCAAGUCUAGCCACAGGAGCAAAUGUCUCAUCAAAGUCUACUCCUUCAACUUGAGUGUAUCCUUGAGCUACUAGUCUUGCUUUAUUUCUAGUAAUUACUCCUUUCUCAUCAGAUUUGUUUUUGUAGAUCCACUUGGUACCAAUGAUGUUGGACCCUUCAGGUCUUGGAACCAGCUCCCAUACUUCAUGCCUUGUGAACUGCUCGAGUUCCUCUUGCAUGGCAAUGAUCCAGUAUUCAUCAGUCAGGGCUUCUUUCACAUUCUUUGGUUCAACCUUGGAAACAAAGCAGGAAUUUGAGUUUAUUCCUCUUGACCUGGUAGUUACACCACUAGUGGGAUCCCCUAUGAUAAGAUCCUUAGGGUGGUCUUUCUGAAUUCUGAUAGAUGGCACUUUGGUGGGUGCCUCUACUUCACAUUCAGGAGGAGGUUCCUGUACUUCUUCAGACUUGACUGGACUGUCAGUUGGACUGUCAAGGAAUGUUUCAACAUCCUCCAUGACAUCGGUUCCUUCCUCUUUAUCAUCCACAAUGACAUUUAUGGAUUCCAUCAGGACAUUGGUCCUGUAGUUGAACACUCUAUAGGCUCUGCUGUUAGUGGAGUAUCCCAGAAAUACGCCUUCAUCACUUUUGGGAUCUAGCUUCCUUCUCUGUUCACGAUCUGUGAGAAUGUAGCAUUUACUUCCAAAGAUAUGAAAGUACUUCACAGUGGGUUUUCUGCCUUUCCAUAUUUCAUACAGAGUGGAGGAGGUUCCUUUUCUCAAGGUGACUCUGUUGUGAACAUAGCACGCGGUAUUCAUAGCUUCAGCCCAAAAGUGCAUAGGGAGCUUCUUUGCAUGAAUCAUAGCUCUGGCAGAUUCUUGAAUAGUUCUAUUUUUCCUUUCAACUAUCCCAUUCUGCUGAGGAGUUAUAGGGGAGGAGAACUCAUGACUUAUUCCUUCAGACGAGCAAAACUCAUCAAACUUGGAAUUCUUGAACUCAGUACCAUGAUCACUUCUAAUCCGGACCACACAACUGUCCUUUUCCCUUUGAAGUCUUAUGCACAGAUCUUUGAAGACAUCAAAUGUAUCUGACUUCUCUCUGAUGAAGCUUAUCCACGUGUAUCUGGAAUGGUCAUCAACCACCACGUAUGCAUAUCUCUUUCCACCCAGACUUUCAACCUGCAUAGGUCCCAUUAAGUCCAUGUGCAACAGUUCCAGAACUCUGGAAGUUGUAGGAUGUCCCAGCUUCGGAUGUGACAUCUUGGUUUGCUUGCCCACCUGGCAUUCUCCACAGACUCUUCCUUCAUCAAUAAGCAGCUUUGGAAUUCCUCUGACUGCUUCCUUGGAUAUGAUCUUCUUCAUUCCCCGUAAGUGGAGAUGUCCAAGGCGUCUAUGCCACAGCUUCACCUCCUGUUCUUCCUUGACUGAAGAGCAUAUUGUGGAGAAGUUUGAGACUUUAGGUUCCCACAGAUAGCAGUUAUCUUUGGACCUAGAUCCUCUCAUAACUUCCUGAUUGUCACCAUUCGUCACAAUACAUAGCUCCUUAGUAAACUGAACAUAGAACCCUUGAUCACACAGCUGGCUUAUGCUGAUGAGGUUUGCAGUUAGUCCUCUUACUAACAACACAUUAUUCAGUUUUGGAACUCCAGAGCAGUCCAGCUUACCCACACCUUUUAUUUUUCCUUUAGCCCCAUCACCAAAGGUCACAUAGCUGGUAUUGUGAGGUUGGAUGUCUGCCAAUAUAUUCUCCAUACCAGUCAUAUGUCUUGAGCAUCCACUGUCAAAGUACCAGUCUUCUUUUGUAGAAGCUCUUAGGGCUGUGUGGGCUAGCCUAGCAUACCAUUGUCGCUUCUUACUGGUGACAUUUUGCCUAAAUGUCUUAUGCUUAGGUCUGCCAUGAGGGACUUGGUUUGGGAAACCAUGUAGCCUGUAGCAGAAGGCUUUUAUAUGCCCCAGCCUACCACAGUGGUGACAUUUCCAUUUCUGGAACUUCCUCUUCUGAUGAUUAGUCAUCCUGGUUCCUCGAUGUUGAUACAUUGGAAGUGACUUCCCUUUGGAUUUCUGAACUUUAGCCUUUGGGCAUUUGCGUUCAGUUGAGGAUCUUUUCCCAAAGCCUAAACCAGAUGUGGUUCAAGACUUCUGUCCUAUCUUCAGGAUCUCUUCCAAGGUGUCAGUUCCUUUAUUCAUCAUUCUGAUGGAUUUAGUCAUCUGAUUCAGCUUGGAGGUUAGCAUGGUUAUCUCACCAUUUAGAUCCUCUAUGGCCGUCAGAUGCUGCAGUCUCUCAUCUUCAGCUCCUUGAUGAGUUUCUUCUGCUUUUCUCCUUGUACACGUACUUCUGCACUGGUGACACAUAGCUUCUUGUAAGCUGCAGCAAGUUCAUCAAAGGUCAGUUCAUCUGCACUUGAAUCAUCAUCAGUAGCACAAACACUGGUUAGUGCAGUGACAUGUUUAGCAGAUUCUCCUUCAGAUUCACUUUCAGAAUCUCCUUCAGACCAUGUGAUAGCUAGCCCCUUAUUUUGCAAUUUGAGGUAAGUAGGGCAUUCAGCUCUGACGUGUCCAUACCCUUCACAACCAUGACACUGGAUUCCCUUGCCGUGGUUGAACUUCUCAUCAGAAGUUGAUCUUUUCUUAAUGUCAGACGGGAUGUUCUUGACAUUAGGUCUACCUCUUUGAUCAAUCUUCUUCACGAACUUGUUGAACUGUCUCCCAAGCAUGGCUAAGGCUUCUGAUAUACUUUCAUCACCUCCAGUAUAUCCUGCUUCUGACUCCUCUUCAGCAUUAGAUACAAAAGCUAUGCUUUUGUUCUUCUUCUCAGCAUACUCACCCAAGCCCAUUUCAAAGGUUUGGAGGGAACCAAUGAGCUCAUCCACCUUCAUGUUGCAGAUGUCCUGCGCCUCCUCUAUGGCUGUGACCUUCAUAGCAAAUCUCUUAGGCAAGGACCUGAGAAUCUUUCUUACAAGUUUCUCUUCAGCCAUUUUCUCACCUAGUCCACCAGAGGUGUUUGCAAUUUCAAGAAUAUUCAUGUGAAAGUCAUGAAUAGUCUCAUCCUCUUUCAUCCUCAGAUUUUCAAACUUGGUGGUCAGCAUCUGAAGUUUGGACAUCUUCACCUUGGAAGUACCUUCAUGAGUUACCUUGAGGGUAUCCCAAACUUCCUUAGCUAGUUCACAGUGGUGUACCAGCCUGAAGAUGUUCUUGCUGAUUCCAUUGAACAAUGCAUUCAAGGCCUUGGAAUUUCCAAGAGCUAAUGCCUCUUGCUCCUUGUCCCACUCUUCUUCAGGAAUCUGCACACUGACUCCAUCUUCACCUGUCUUCAUUGGAUGUUCCCAUCCUUUGUUGACAGCUCUCCAGACUUUGCUGUCUAGAGACCUUAAGAAGGCUAUCAUACGAGGCUUCCAGUCAUCAUAGUUAGAGCCAUCCAACAUGGGUGGUCUAUUUGAGUGUCCUAUAUCCUUGUCCAUGGUACUAGAAAGUAACUUCCCUAGAUCUCACCCAGAAAUUCACAGGCAGGGUGCCUGCUCUGAUGCCAAUUGAAAUUCUAGUUAUCAGACUUUGGAUGUCACACGGGUUGUUAUGACAUCCAAUUCUGCACAGACAGGAAUUAUGCAGAACUUAAAAGUAAGUGCAGUAAAUAACACAAGUAAUUGUUUACCCAGUUCAGUCCAACAUGACCUACAUCUGGGGGCUACCAAGCCAGGGAGGAAAUCCACUAUUAGUAGUAUCAAUUCAAAGCUAAACUCACCCGUUUACAACUUAUCACUUAAUCCCUACCCAAUGCAAUUUCAAUCUUAACCUAAGAUCAGAGUUCCUACUCACUCCCCCUCAAUCACCUCAGUGAUUACUAUCUUUAAACAAUAUUAAAGACAAGUUGAAGUCACACUUCAAACAACUCUUGAUUGUGCUUCACAGCUUUAAUCAAGAUACACAGCACUCACGCUUAAAAGCUUUGAGUGACACAACACUUACAACUCAAUGAACACCCUAUGCCAAAGCUAUCAUCUACUUGAUAAUGGCUUGGCUUACAAGAUACGUCUAAUACAAGACUCACAAAAAUACAGCAGUGAAGUAUGAUGGACACACAAAAUCUUCACGCCUCAAAAUCCCUGAAACUGAAUGAAGGAACGCCUUCCUUUUAUAUUGCAGUAUCCUGGGCUUUUGCACCUGUAUUCUCCUGAAUUUAAGGUCACGCGAGUUCCCAUAAAUUCAACAUUUAGGUUACUAACAAAUAGGCUAUUUGUUAGGUUCAUUGAAUGUAGCUUGGUUGUUGAUUUCCUGGAUUUUCUCUCAGUUGUUGAAUCCCUGAAGAAUAGCCUGAGAAAAAGCUGAAACAGAAAACUGAACAACCUACAAUAUAGCAUAUGCUGUCAGGCAUGAAUGUCACGACAUUCAGCUUGACAUCAAGGAUCAUAUGCUGAGUCUGUUUUUCCAGAAAACAGACUGUACAAUUUUGCUGACCUGUAUAUGACCAAAAUGACCAUACUAUAGUAACAGCUUACAUUAAUAAAUGUCAAAGUAUCCAAUUUGAUAUUUAUACAUUUGGCCUUAAGUUAGUUCUGUUAUCCUCUUGAAGAACAGACUAAGAAACAUACUGAAGUGUAGCAGAACACCACUCUGUCUAUUGUUCAGUAUAUGCUGUCAAUGAUGAAUGUCAUAACAUCCCGUUUGACAUUCAGUCAGUAGGCCUUAUGCCAGAUCUGGUAUUACCUUGAUAACCAGACUGGAAAUAAAUACUAAGUUCCAACAGAACACCAGCUGUUCUAUUCCUUAGUAUUUGCUGACAGGUAUGAAUGUCACAGCAUCCAGUUUGACAUUCAAUAAAUCCUGUAUUAGCUAAUCCUGCAGUAACUACUCAAGUGUGUCAUGACAUCAGUCAAGACAUCAGAGUACAGUUAGUUAUUCCAACCUACAAUGCAGCCACACAUACACACCAUGUCAUGACAUCAGUCAAGACAUUAGUAACCAGCUAGUGUUCUACCAUAUAAUGCAGCCAAUUAAACACCUACAAAGUUGGAAUUUCAACUUGCAAGUACGAUAUUUUUGAUGUUUUGAGCACAUUGUAUCCACCUUGUUUUAGUCACUUUUAAAUCAAAUUUUUUUUAAUUGAAUUGAUUGAUUAAUUCAAAUUUUGUUUAAAUUACUUGGUUGUGAUGAUCGAUUACCUUGGAAAUUUUAGUUAAUCAAAUGAUUUUGAAUUUGAAUUUUGAUUGGGUCACUUAAGUAGUUUGUUUAAAUUCCAAUCAAAUAACUUUAUUAAUUAAAUAUUGACCAAAUUAUUUUAUCACGAUGUAAACCUCUUCCAAACUCGAAUUCAUUUCAAUCUUAUCAAUUCGAAAUUAUUCACCCAUUCAAUAAAAACAUGAUUCUCGAUUCAAAGUCGAACCCAUUUUUAAAUACCCUUGUAAGUCGAUAGCUUUUGGCAUCGUCAUCAACCUCACAUAGCUUUCUCUUGGGCUUUCUUACAAUGAGACCUAGUCGAUUGUUAAUUGAUCGAUUAGAUGAUUGAUUCACUAAAUAAAACCCACUUUAUUCAUAAAACACAAACUUAAAAUCUCGAUUCCACCAUCGAGUAUUUCUCUUCAAAUUAUAUUAAGAUGCCCAAUCACAAUCAAAUACCAUUUCAUUUGGAAAUGAAAAGGGGGAUGACUUUGAGUUUUCAAUUCCUUUCCUCGAUUAUUUGAAUACGAGUUCUCUUACACGGUUAGUCAAAUAGUCGUCACUUCCAUCCACCUAAGCACAAACAAAUCGAAUCAUUUUUAUAAUAAGAAACGAAAAGGGAGAUGACUUUGAGUUUUCAAUUUUUUUUCUCCUCGAUUAUUUGAAUACAAGUUCUCUUACUUGGUUAGUCAAAUAAUUGUCGUUCCUCUGCAAGCUUCCAAACCCCGAUUAAAUCAAAUUAUUUUCAUAAUAAGUUAAAUGAAACGGGAGAUGACUUUAAGUUUUCAACUUCUCUCCUCAAUUGUUUGAAUAUGAGUUCUCUUACUUGAUCAGUCGAACAAUUGUCAUUUUUCCACCAACAUAUAAGGUAAUCAAAUUAUUUCAUAAUAAACUAUACGAAAAGGGAGAUGGUCUUGAGUCUUUAGUUCCUCUUCUCAAAUGCUUGGAUAUGAGUUGUCUUACUCAGCCAUUCAAGUACUUUGUCGUCUAUUCCAAAAUACAUCAACCAUACGCAAACCUAUUUUCAUAAUCACUCAGAUGAAAAAGAAAGCGGUCUAGAGUCUUCUAUUCCCUUUCCCGACUAUUAGGAUGCGAGUUAUCUUACUCGACUAUCUGAGUGUUCGUCAUCCAAUCAAAAACACCUUAAUCAUCAUUAAAAUCCUUUCAUAAUUAAGGAUGAAAAAGAAAGCGGCUAGAGUCUUCUAUUCCCUUUCCCGAUUAUUAGGAUACGAGUUGUCUUACUCGGCCAUCCGAGUAAUCAUCAUCCAACCAAAAAUAUCUUAACACAUCAAACCUAUCUUUCUCGCCCUCGUGCGAUCGAAACCAGUCAAACAAAACAUCAAACACAUCAAUUCAACUCGUCACCCCCCGCGUGACCAAAACCCUUGUUUCAAAAAGAAUACUGUCAAUCCUUUCUAAUGCACACAACAAACUAGUGCUAGAGCCUCCACCGAGAGUAGACAAGCCAAUGUUUAGCCUUUAGAACGCCGACCUACACAGUCCUUCAUAAAACAAAACACGCCAAUUAUUCGUAGUUCCUCGAACUACGAAUGCUCUGAUUUCCUUAUUGCACCAUAAGGAUACGUAGGCAGGAGAUUGCUGUAUCUUUGCGAGCACACUAAUAAAAUCCUCUCUUUUCUCCCUUCUGAGGUCGUCAUCCAUAUCUAUUAUCAACUCUAAUUACUCGAAGAAAACAAACAACGUAAGUUAACACUCAAAUUGCAAAAUUGAACUAAAAGGUUCCCGUUGAGUACAACGGGCGUGAGGGGUGUUGAUACCUUCCCCUUGUGUAAUCCACUCCCGAAUCUGAAUAUGGUUGCGACCACCAUUAUUCUAUUUUUCAAAGGUUUUAUCGAUAUUUUCCUAUUCCUUCAUUGGGCUAAAUAAAGUUCGGUGGCGACUUUGUUCGAACUAACAUUUUUCCGCGUCCAUUGCGAAGGAUCGCGUUUUUUCUGAGGUGCGACACUGGUUGUGCAAAUUUAUGUUGAUGGUAUUAUUUUUGGUUCUGCUAAUGCUUCGUUGUGUAAUGAUUUUGCUAAGUCAAUGCAUGAAAAAUAUGAAAUGAGUCUGAUGGAAGAACUCAAGUUUUUUCUGGGAAUCCAUAUUGAUCAAAGAUCAUAAGAAACGUACAUUUAUCAGAGCAAGUAUAGAAGGGAAAUUCUGAAAAAGUUUAAGUUGUCAGAAUGCAAACCAAUGAAGACUUGGAUGCAUCAUACAAGCAUUCUAGAGAAAGAAGAGGUAAGCAGUAAGGUAAAUCAGAAUCUAUCCAAAGGUAUGAUAGGAUUUCUCAUUUAUCUAAUUGCUUCUAGACCUGAUAAUUUAUUCAGUGUAUGCUUAUGUGCCCGCUUCCAAUCAUAUCCUAGGGAGACUCAUUUAACUGUGGUUAAGGGAAUCUUUAGGCAUCUGAAAGGUACUACUAACCUUGGUUUAUUAUUUAGAAAAUAAAGAGAAUACAAAUUAGUAGGAUACUAUGAUACUGACUAUGAUGGAGAUAGAAUAUAAAGGAAAAGUACUUCUGAAAGUUGUCAAUUUUUGGGAGAGAAUCUAAUCUCGUGGUCCAGCAAGAGAUAUUCAACAAUUGUGCUUUCAACAGUCGAAGUUGAGUAUAUCGCAACUUCUAGAUGAAAGACUUAGAUACUCUGGAUGAAGAGUCAGCUAGAAGAUUAUUAGAUAUUUGAGAGUAACAUUCAUAUUCUCUGUGAUAAUACUUAUGUUAUUUGUUUGUCUAAGAAUCCUAUCUUGCAUUCUAGGGCUAAGCAUAUUGAAAUUAAACAUCACUUUUUACAUGACUAUGUUCAGAAGGGUGUUUUCACUUAAAAUUUGUUGAUACAUACCAUCAAUGGGCUGAUAUCUUUACAAAACCCCUUACUAAAGAUAGAUUCAUUUUCAUUCUAAAAAACGUAUUUAUGGACUCUUGUCCAGAAUGAAAAGAUGAAUUUUAGAAUGUUAAGCUUCAGGAACUCUUGAUUAGGUUCUGAGAAUUUUUUUUGUUGAUUCUAAGACAUGAGCUUUAUGAAGUGAGGAAGUUUCAUGAAUAAAAAAGGUUCUAAUCAAAAGCAACCUUAUUGAUUUGCCUUCUUGAUUUGAGUAGUUGUUGCAUUAAGUGAUUGUCAUUUCAUUUGGUAUCAUGCGGUUCUUAGUGGUGACAACUAUCCCACUUUUUGAGCAUGCGUGAUGUUAGCAUGACAAUUAGGUUUCAUAUUUCUUGGAAUUAGGUUAAAUUCUCUUACAUUUCCCCCUAUGAUGGCGUAUUACUUUUGUUGUCAUAAUUAAAAAAAUUGUAUAUAGACCCACUUCACUCACAUUUUCAAAUUACGCUCACAAUUUCUUCCACACUUUCAAUAUUUCAAACCUUCAAACACCCUCUCUACAAAUGUUCAUCUUCAUCCUCAACGUUCUUCAAUGGAUGAUAAAAAAUAACAACAACAACAACAACAAUAAGCUCAACCUCAAUCUUCUCCUUAGUCAAUCGCCGAUAAGAACACUCCUCCCUCCAAGGAAGAAAUUUGCGAUAGUAGUAUCCCAUCGAAAAAUACCAAAUCUUCACCAAUAUCGAUCCUCCAAAAGUCUUAGCGUACUACAUGGCAAGUUUUCUCUUGGAUAAUAUUGAUUUGUUGGUGGAUCCCUUCAAUCUACCUGAUGACUACCUAGUUGUUCCACCGCCUCAUCCGCCACAAAACCCUUAGUUUUCAAAAUAGUCUUGCACUUUUGUGUGUUUAUUUUAUUUAAGUAUUUUUAUACUUCUGUCUUUGUAACAUGAUUGUACUAUUUCUGCCUUCUUACACAUUUCAAUGAAAUCAUGUUUGUCUCUUUCCAUUGUUUUUGUCUAUGUCUUUUUGAUUGAUGACAAAUAAGGAGAAACGUAUUUAAGGGGAGAAACGUAAUUGUUUUGAUAUACUUAUAUUUGUGAAUCAGAACCCAAACAUUUUUGAUGUUUCAGCUAACAACUACUUUGAAGAAUAGUUUGUUAAUUGUAUUGUAGGGAAAACUCAAGAACAUCAAAAGCUCUUGAAGUUUUUCAGAUCAGAACUUAAGUUACCAAUUUAUGAAGAAAUGAUCUACUCUCUGAGUCUGAAGCUUCAACUUUACUGUUUGAGAAAUAUUUCAACCAGGAAUCAUAACCAGGCAUCAAGUUGAGGAAUUGUGAAUUCCAUGUUAAUCAUACUUGAUUCGACCAGGUUCUAAGGUUUAUGACAAGGCUCUGAAGCUAUUUAAGAAGAAUCCGUAACUAGGCUCUGAAAUCUUUUUCAAAUAUUCAAAGAGAAUUUCAAAGAGAACCGGGCUCUAAAGCUUCUUCAAAAGAGUUUAACCAAGCUUCUGAAGUGAAGUUCAUCAUAAUGUUGAUUUUAACAACCAGUGCUCUGGAUAAGAUCAAGAAACUCCUGAAGACAAGCCAAAUUCUGAUGGAAGAUGAUUUUGGUACUUCAAAAAGGUUAAUCAGGAAAGUGCUUUUUUAUUCUGAUUUUAUCUAUUUAGGAAUAGACAUCUUAGGGGUAGCUUUGUGCUUUUGUAAUAUGUAUCCUUUUAUGAUUACCUUGUAAAAAAUUGUUCAUAAAAAUACAUGUUUUUAUCGUCAUCAAAAGGGGGAGAUCAUUAGCACAAGAUUUGGUUUUGCAUCUAUAUCUUGAGUUUUGAUGAUAACAAUGUUGUAUUUGUGUGAGAACAAUUUUGGUACCCUAAUGGUUUGUUAUUAUGUAGCUUUAACAACCAAUUGUGAUUCUGUGUAUAUGAUGUGCAACAUCUUCAGUUUCUGAAUAUUGUGUUCCAAAUUAUGCUUCUGCACUAAUCAUGAAAAGUUAUGAAAUAUAUCAAGUUGCUACUGCAAUGUUCUUUCUGCUUCUAUGCUGAUUCACUCCUAAGAAGUUUUUGGAAAGAUGUUAUGUUGCUGCUGCAAUGCUUUCUCUAUUUCUGCUUUUGGAUGUGACUCUGAUCAUCAACUAUUCAUCAGAAGCCAAUGAAUUUGAAGAUAAGAUCAAAAUGGAUACAUGAUCAAAUAGUACAUGGUACAAAUGAAAUAUUCCUUCCACUACCUGAUAUCAUGGGCAAAUGACAAUACUAUUCUUCUCACCUGUCACUAAUCCGUUAGUGGACAUCUACAUUUUGAUUAUUCCGGAUUUGCCCUCCAACUGUUCCUUUUUCAUGCUAUAUAAAGAGGACUUGGAGACUUGAAGAAAAUACUAUUGCAACAAUUUCAUAAGAUUGUUUUCUACGUGAAAAAGACCUAAACUUUGUUCGUACUUUUCUUCAAGUGUUUGUUUUUCAUUUGUAUAAAAUUUGCUUAUGUAGAAGCAACUUGUAAACAAAAACCUUUAUUCAAACGUGUUAUUUGUGAUUCCUUAAGGAGACUAGGGUAUAGUUUGAUCCUUGAGAAGACAAAGAAGGUUAUUCUUGGUGAUUAUUGUGAUCAGUUAAUUUUAGUGGAUUAAGUCCUUGUAUAUAAGGCGAAAUCACCUUGGCAGAUGGACUGGAGUAGCUUUGAGUUUCAAGCGAACCAGGAUAAAAAUACUUGUGUUUAUCUCUUUGUUCUUAGUAUUUAUAUGAUGUUCUUGAGUUGGUAAAAAAUAUUUUGUUUUUAAAACCCAAUUCAUCCCCCCCCCCCAUUUCUUGUAUUUUUCACAUGUUUACGUAGGUUUAAGGCUCAUGGAGAACUCCAUGGACUCAUGGUGAACACCAUGAGUGUCAAUAUGGAGAACACCCCCCCCCCAUUUCUUGUAUUUUUCACAUGUUUACGUAGGUUUAAGGCUCAUGGAGAACUCCAUGGACUCAUGGUGAACACCAUGAGUGUCAAUAUGGAGAACAUGGCCUUUUCAGGUCCAUGGAGAACGUCAUGGCCUCACAGUGAACGCCACGAGUGUAAAAUGCUGGCCUUUUGACUUUCUUGACUUUUUGGUGCACAGGAAGUUGUCAUGUCAUUGCAAGUGCCAUGGAAAACAUCAUGGUGAAGGUCAUGAGUACAAAUCUUGGUCUUUUCUCCGUUUUUUCAUUGUUUUCAUUUUGAUUUCUCACAUGGAUACUCCUACCUGGAAAGCACGUAAAACAAACACAAUAAACCAACAUAACACAAUAAAAAGGAGACAAAACAAGGUAAAAUGUCACGUGAGUCGAGUCGGAAAUGCAAUACGUUUUGUGGUUAUCAAACUCCCCCGUACUUGAACCCUUUCUUGAAUUCAAGCAAGUUGCUAGCGUAUAUGGAAAUUGUGUAAAUGCAACAAUUUUAGUAUAAAGACUUAGAGAAUACAUAACACUCAAAUACUCAUACGUGGCUACUAAAUCUAUUUCGACCAAAAUUGACUUGAUAGGUACUAACAGUACACCAAGGAUAUCGUGAAAACACAAUUUUGCAUUUCGCGGUUAAAAGUCUCCCUCCUAUGCAAACCAAUCCAAAUCAUGCCAUUAUGCCUAAACAUAACUCACUCAUCCCCCUUUCCAUCCUUUUUCAUUCUAGUGCAAUCACAUUAAGCUCGUUAUCAUUUCACAAACAUAGUAGGAAAAUCUGUUAGUCACUAUAAUCUGGUUUUAUCAAUUUGUGCACUUUGGCUUAACUCAUUAAUAAAUAGGAGGAUAACAUACCGUUUGGAUAAAUGGCUGGGUGAAGGUCACCUAAAUUAGAAGGAACCUUCCCUUUUUAUUCAUUUUUCUUUUAAGCUCAUGAUCAUUCACUUAUUUGCAUUAACUUCCCUAUGUAGUGUGUGUUUAGGAGUGUGUUGACUGCUUAUAUAAACUACUAAAGGAUUUUUAGAGAAAAAGAACUCUAGGUUAUGGACAUAAUAGGUAUUCAAAUUGAUCUCCAUAUUUAUGAGGCUUGAGGUGUUGGUAUGAUGCCAUUUUUGCAAUAAUAUUAUCAAGUCUCCUAAAUCUAGCCUUUAUUUCAUUUGCAGCAUAUAUACUUUCUAAUCAUCCUACCGAUUUCAAGUCUUAUCAAGCAAAUUUUUUUCCAGAAGGGCUCAAGAAAUUGGGAGAUUCAAUAAACAACAAGAAACCCUGAAUAAAGACUUGACAACACAUCCAAAGACUCAAAGCAUACAUUACCCUAUAAAAACAACCAAUGACAUAAAACUAACAUGAUAGUAAAAUACAGAAAAAUGGAAAGUGAAUAAAAGCGGUAAACACCCCUACACUUAAAUCCUACAUUGUCCUCAAUGUAUGAAUGUAAGUGUAAGAAAGGUAGGAAGAACCUGGUGAGUAAAUCAAGUCAAGUGAUCAAUCUCUUUAUUUCCUGCAAAUUCAAACACACAAACAUAACAACUUAAAAGAAUGGAGAGACUUAAAUAUUAAAGACCCAAUUUUUGGAGCUAAGAUACCACAUGAUGCUUAUAAUAUGAUAUGAAUGCAAAUAAGAAUCUCUGUGCGGAAUAUAGAGAACAAGAGAUAAAGAACUGUUAGAGAUGAGAGGGGACUGAAAUUUCGCAGGGGAAAGACAAAUUCCAAAGGGGUACCCAACUGGGGACAAACAAAGUUCCGCAAGGGAAAAGGAAGAGCUAAAAAAUAACUGAUGCAAGGUUAGAAAACGAACUAAAGAUCCAACCGGGAAGACUUGUCGAAGCAAGACUUCGUCGGGGAAAAGCAAGCAACAGAAGGGAAAAACCCUGACUCCAACAGGAGAGGAAUAUUACCUAACUAUCAACUGAGUGAUAGCUUAACAAAGGUAACCAAUCAUAGGUGAAAGGAAUUAUUACCUACUAUCAGCCGAGUGAUAGCUUAACAAAACUAAUAAGCUCAAACAGAAUGAUUACCAACUACCAGCCAAGUGAUAGAUUAAUAAAGGUAACCAAUCAAAAGGGGGACCAAAGUUCAGACCAGAAAUAAACUAGAGAGAAGCAGUCAAAGAAGACUCAAUCCAAUGAGGUCAUGAGCUCAAUGGGGGAUUGAUCCCAUCCAAAUAAUGAACUGGAGGGGAAAACUGAAGCAAAAUUUUCCAUGAGGAUCAGACUUAGUGGGGAAUUAGAAAGGAUAAACUUUUUAUGCUUAAGGUCGACACUCUAUAGGAGAGAGGACGCACACACUUUGCGGGGAGAAACGUUCUAGAGAGUGGUGUGGAAUUAUUGUAAAAUGAAAAAUUCAUAAAUAAACAUCAUUAUGUUAUGCGCAUGCGUAUGAUUAUGCUGACAAAACAAACGCAAAGGAACGAGACUGAUAAUAUAAUACAACCAGAUACUCGGCUAAUCUCAGCAGGAUGGAGAUGCUGGCAGAGAUUCGUUAGGGAUUUCACCACUCUUGCAAACUAAUGUUGGGGAGACUGUUAUGAAAGAAGUUCCAACUUGGGGAAGUCAUUGAAUUCCAUUAUUCAGGAUCUUACCAUCCUUGGGAUUACCAUUAACAUUCCUCUUUUGCAUUCCUAUUUUGUUUAAAUAUAUUUUUGUUUCAAAAAUGAUCAUUAAGAAUAAAUGAAAUUUCAUGAACUGAAACAAAAUAAGAGUAACAAACAAAUGGGAAAAAGGCUCAAAUUUUAUUGAUAGAAUGGUGGUCCAUAAAUGGCGUGACUCCAUGGAUCAUUACAAAGUUGGAAAAUGGUAAAUACGUGGAAAGGGCUACAUUAAAAUACAAUGACCAUUAUUCUCCCUAACAACUUUAAAUUCCACUAUGCUCUGGACUUCGGUUAAGGAUAACUGAAU